rnacentral:lncRNA from 1 species
UUUCUCUCCCUCUCCUUCGAACUCACACGGACAAGCUCCAAAACCACCCUAAACUUCUACCAACGACAGAGUUAAGACCACCAUCAAACUCCUGGAACCUCCACGAUCACGAUGGUAUCCAUUUCAGGUAAGUUUUGCUUCGGAAAACCCUAGUUUCAAAGUUCCCGUGAAAUGGUACCGUUCAUGAUCUUCUAAAUGACUACGUUUUAGGCUAAAACAAGAUCACAGCGAGCUUAGUGAGGUCCCAAGGAAGCUCGGAGUGCUUCGUUGGAAGUUUUUGGACGUAAGAACACGGAGAUCGACAAGUUCAAAGUUUGGCCGGAGCUUUCGAGGCUUUUUCCGGCGAAUCCCCGGCGAGUUAGGAGUCGAGGUAGGUAUCAAUUUCUUCGUCUCGUCAAGUACUACAACUUUCCUUUUUGUUUCACUCAAUUUCGUUGAGUAUUGAAGAAGUUAUACUCAUUUGAAAAAUACCCAGUUUCCGGCGACCUCCGAGGCUUUCGAGGCAGUUUCCGGCCAAACCACGGCGAACUAGGUGUUGUGCAAGGUACCAUUUGAAGAAGUUAUACUUUUCAAGGGCUACAACUUUCGUUUUUGAAUCACUUGAUUUCGUUGAGAAAUGACAAAGUUAUGGCAAUUUGAAAAACGGCCGCCGGAAAAACCAGUCCGGCGACCCAAGGAAGAAGAAGGUGCGCGUGGGGGCGCGUAGGUCCGUGCCUUCCUUGGCGCAUGGGGGCGCGUGCUACAGUAAAAAAAUAUUUUAAAAAUAUGUCGACGUCCGUGACGUCGAGUAGACCUCUGUGGUAUAUUCAUAUACCCAAUUUGAGCACCGUAUGAGAAAGUUAUUAAGGAUUGUUGGUUAGGUGUUCGAAUAACGUUUUAUAGUUUUGGUGAAAAUGUGAAUUGAUGAUCCGACCGUUGGAUCGUCACCAAAAUUUGAUACGUUGUAAUACGUAAUAUUUGAGGAUUAUAGGAACUUACAGAUUGGGAAUCCGAUUUGCGGAUCUUCCGAAAUUGGAGUUGUAAGUCCAUAAUAUAGAAUGUUAACUGUCACUUAGUUUUGGAAAUUGACGGAGAUCCAACCGUUGGAUGGUAAUGAAAUUUUAGGAUGUUAUCCUAGAGAUAUAUUGUGGACCUCUGGAAGUUAUGGAUUUAAAAUCUGAGUGGCAGAUCUUCCGGAUCGAACUACGUAGUGACGUAUUUUAUAUAAGUUAUAUAUUCUAUCGAUAUGAAUUCUGAGGUUGGAUUUGAUUACUAUUCUAGGCGGCGAUCGUCGUGACGCCUUGAUGUGUGGUGCUAGGGAGUUGUUGGACGAACUCCAGGUGAGUGGGCAGUUUUGUUUUCCGUAUACAUAUAUACUUGCCGUUUUCCCAGAAAUUGAAAAUGCAUGAAAUUAUGCUUUUAAUGAAAAUGUAUAAAAGUAUAUGAGAUAUAUUAGUUGAAAUGCCAUGCAUGAAAGUAUAUGAAAAGUAGAUAGAAAUGUGAAUCGAAUUGCCAUGCAUGAAAUGAUAUGGAAAGUAUGAAUUGAUAUAUGAUGCAUAUGUAUGAAUUGGUGCGGCGGACGCACAGGUGAGUAUCAGGUGAGUAUUUAAAUAUUGUUAUGAUGAUGUUGAUAUAUAUUGAGCUCAAAUCCUGCACCAUGGUUAGUGCUUAUAGUAUUCACCGCAUCGCACGCUCGCCUUGGAUCCAAGUAGAUGCUGGUCGCACAGUCCACGCGGAGUGGGUGCGACGGGCCAGUCGAAGAGUGUUAGUGAGAUUUCGACUGGUGGGUGACCUUAGAUUAUGUGCACAGAUGAUUGAUGAGAAAGCACUAGAGCGUAACUUGUGUGCAGAAGGCCGGACGGGUCACAGAGGUGACUCCGGUAGAGUGAUAGUGAUAGAUUUUGAGCUCUAGGUUCAACCGUACAGGGCUAUUAGAGGGCCUCCGGUUGAUUACUUUCUUGCACCUGAUAUGAUUAUUGUUGAUGCAUCCAUACUUAACUGUUGAAUUAGACAUGGCAUGGCAUGAUUGAUAAAGAAAAAAUGUUAAGUUAAUGAAUCGAAGUAUUGAGAAUAUAUAUGUAUAUUUAUAUUUUACAUUUCUGGGAAAGUAUACAGGUUUUACGGAGAGGGGUUACAACGUUUUGAGAAAUGUUUGGAUUUGGAAAAGAAUUGUUUUACUGACCCACUCAAUUUUGGUUUUGCGCCCCUCCAGGUUAAAGAAUAGCUGAGGUGUGGUGGCUACGAGGAAUUCAACGGGGUUCUGACAGAAUGGAUCAAAUUAGGACUCACCUUCGGGUGUAUCAAUUUAUAAAUUGUAUAAUUAAAGCUUCCGUACUGUGCAAAUGGUUACGUCACUCUCACGUGACGGCCAGCAUGCCCUCCUUCGGGACGGGGUGUGUCAUUUUAGGUGUUUGGUGAACUAAAAAAAAAAAGCUUAUUUUGGAAGCUGUUGUGAGAAUAAGCUGAAAUCAAAGGAAAAGCUGAAAUUGCUAUUUGCAGCUUUGGAAAACUGGCUUUUUUUUAAAGCACACGGAGCUACAAUGCUCCUUUAAUGAAAAGACUCACUAUCAGACUGUUUUUUUUUCAAAAGCACUUUUACAAAAAAAUUUACCAAACACUCUGUUGAUUUAUUUUACAGCCGUUUAUUCUCACAGCAGUUUUUUUUCAAAGCAUAACAAUACCAAACUAGCCCUUAAUUUUUUAAUUCAAUGGAAUAUUGGGAUUGAAUUAUUUACAAAUAAUUAACAUUAUAUAUUGUUUAGAGAAUGGUUAUUUAGCAAUUAAGCAUGAUUUUAUUUGAUUUUGCAUGAUGCGGGCUUUGAGUUUUAGCAACGUGUUUCACGGGCUUUGAGCUUUAAAGAAAACCUCAGUUAGUUCACUAUCUUGAGGACUCUCCCAGACUCAGACUGAAUCUUCUCUCCUCAAUCCUCCCUCUCGUAUCUCGAUCUCUCUCUUCCAGAGUCCAGGCUGACUCUCAUCCCUUUCGAUUCUUGGUUUUUCUGUCGAACUCGAAGGGACGAACGACAAAGUCAAUCUCUCUCUCUGUUGAACUUGAGGGGACGAACGAUGAAGUCGAACAACUUGAAACGAUGAAUCAGUCAUGUCCUCCAUCUGACUCAGACUCAUAUUUGCAGGGAAUCCGAGCUCUGUUGACGGUCAUUUUCAGUUUCGAGGUAUUAUGUUUUAGGGAUUUUGUUGGUUUCUUGAAUCUUGACCUCUGUUCUGUUUCAAUUUCAGAUCUUUUGUUGAAUUGAAUUUGAAUCUUCUGUUGGGUAUUAUUGAGAUUAUAUUUGGUUGAUUAGUGGAAUGUGUUGGUAUAUGGUCCAGCCCAUGAUGAAUGUUCUAGAUUAUUCUAGUAAGCAAGUGAGGUGGCUGGAGCAUGCUAGACAAUUCUAGCAUGUUAUUAAGUUGAUGGAAGAAGUUAGAGAGUACUAGCUUCCUUAGUUGCAAAUGGAAAGAUCUAGAAGCUACAAUUUUGUUGCUAGUCUAUAAUUAUCUAUGCUAGAGGAUUGAAGAAUACAAUAGAAACUAGUAGAAUGCCAAACCCUCACCUAUAAAUAUGGGUGUGAUGUUGUAGUGAAGUAACCAAUUAAGAACCAAGUGUGAGUAGCAAAGGAUCAAGUCCAAAGCUAGAGUUCCACUCCAAGAGUGAGAGUAAAAGUGUUCCACUACACAUUGUGAGUGAAGUUUAGAGUGAUAGAAAGUGUGUGUCAUACUUUCUUGUAUCCAUCAAGCCUUGUCUUUGGCUUGGUAAGACUACUCUUGUUGUACUCAUAUUUUUCAUAUAGUGAAGAUUGAUCAUUUGUUUAGUGGACGUAGGCAUAAAUUGCCGAACCACAUAAAUUCUUGGUGUCCAUUUUCUACUUUACCUUGUGUUGAUGCACAAAACCGGAGGUCUUGGAACAACGUAAAUCCGACCGUGAAUUCUGCACAAACGCUCAAGAACACGAAGAACACAAAGAACACAAGGAUUUUAUCGUGGUUCACCCCAAUGUUUGGGCUACGUCCACACUGUAGUUGAUUCUGUUUCUCUGUAAUUGUAUGGAUACAAGUGUUUGGGGGAAGUCCCCCGGAGGAGAAAGAAGAGAAGGGAGAGGAGAGCCUCGGUAGUGUGAGGUCUCUCCUGAAUGUAAUGAUAGCUUCUCUUAGCCUUCUUAGGCUUGGCUCUUUUGCCUCCCUUAGAAUGAGGGGAGGAGUCCCCUUUUAUAGAAUAAGGGGCUCCUCCUCUUUUACAAAGUAUGGGCUUUAGUGUGAGGCCCAAAUACAAGGCCCAAGGCCCAAAUAUACGAGGCCCAAUAUAUGGUACCAACAGGAGUCCCCCAAGUCUUCAGUCAAGAGAGUCUUUUGGCUGGAGACUUCAAAUUCAGUCCAUGUGUGGGCCGAAGUGACUAGAUGUUGUCCAGAACCAGUGCUCAACAUGAAGCAACGCUUAACAUAAAGUAAUACUCAGCUAGAGGUAGCACACGUUACGAGGUUGCCCGGCCGGAGGUGAUGCCCGUUGCGAGGCUGCUUGGUUAGAGGCUUACGCUCGCGGUGAGAACUUGCUUGGUUAGAGGCUUAUGCUCGCAGCGAGAGGUUGCUCGGCUGGAGUCGAUGCUCAUUGCAAGGUUGCUUGGCUAGAGGCUUAUGCUCGCGGCGAAAGGUUGCUCGGCCGGAGUUGAUGCCCAUUGCCAGGUUGCUCAGUAAGAGGCUACGCUCGCAGCAAGGCGGCUCGACUCGUGGCAUUCCUGGUUGCAAGUACGUACUUUAUGUCAAUGUGCACUCAGUAUGAGUUGAUUCUCGACCUGACUAGGGUCUGUAAGUUGGGUCUGAUUUUGUAAGUGCCCAAAAUGAAUGGUGUCUGAGCCCAUGGGUGUCCAAGCAAAUGGAUGUCCUGGUUGGGUAAGAGAUCAAUGUUGAUCAGUAGAGCUGGUUGCUCGAUAAUUCCUGACAAUAAAUGACAGCAUAAGUCUGAUUGUAUAAAUCAAUAACGUGGUAUUAAUCAUGUAAUAUAAAAAAUAAUAAUCAUAUUAUUUAAUCAUGAGUCAUCAUGAUAUAGAAAUAAUAUAAUCAUUAUUUUAUAAUAAUUAUAAUCAUCAUGACGUAAAAAUAAUAAAAUAUUUAAAGGAAAAGAAUAUUAUCCCUGUGUUUUCGGUGGAGGCAUGGUGGAGACAUAGUGAUGAUAGCGGGACUAUCCCACUAAAUUUCUGUUCCCCACUUUCUUUUUUAUUCUUUUCUUUUUCUUUUUUUUUUCUUUUCUUUUCUUUUUCUUUUUCUUUCUUUUUCUUUUUUCUUUUUUUUUUCUUUUUCUUCUUUCUUUUCCUGGUGCUAUGGCCGACACCAGUGGGAUUUUUCCCACCAAACCUGUUCCACUUUCUCUUUUUACAGGUUUAGUGGAUGAUUGCUGCCUUCUAGUGGAUGACUCCAAUUGAGUUGAUUCUUUCUGUUUCCCACUCUCUCUGAGAAAAAAAAUCACAGUGCCUCUCUCUCUGACCGUCCCCCUACGGCCCUCCGGUUCGCCGCGCGAGUCACUCUUUAACUCGCUGACCCAGUCACUGAGCUCAGCUUCAUCCUCAAUCAGACUCUUCGAAGCUCCACCAACUCUUCGUAGGCACGUGGCAACUCGGACCCCGACCUAGUCCUGGAGCCCCGGAACGCCUCGUCGACGUCCUUGCUGUUGAGCAGGUUGAUCGCCAGCUUCAGUCCAUGCGCCACCAGCGACGAGAACAGGAAGAAGCUGAAGGAAACGGCCUCCCCUCCGCAGCCAUCUCCGCCAUUUCGGCCACCGCCUCCGCUGAUACUAUCUUCAUUCUAGAACAGUCCUGAUCCUCUGUACUCAGCCUCGUCGAGUACGUCACCCCGCCUCCUAUCUGAGAGCUCAACCUAGCGCGCGGUCGGAGCUGGCAGUGGACCUAAUGGUGCGGCGAACCUUGCCGUGCGCGUAGCGGCACUCGCUUCCGUGGCCACAGGUUUUGGCCUCACGCCUGAAAAAGGAGCAGAGGCUGGUCUUCCAUACUUCAUGCAGUUUUGGUGCUCAUGGAUUGCCCAACAUGUUGUGUUUGUGUAGUAGGGAGCCUCUGGAUUUGGAACCCAUCAGAACAGAAGAAUUGGAAAGCUGAUUUCCCUGAAAAGAGCCCAGAAAACCCAGUGUCGCAGCCCAGGUCGAAGCUGCUGUGGCGGCUGUGGAGGGUCGAGAGAGAAGAGGGUGGAGGUGGCGAGUUGGGCCUGGAGCUCCGGGAGCUUGGCCUGGUAUUAAGGCCCAUUUUGGAGCAACGGUACACAAUCUGCCCCUUUUUGUUCAGUCAGAUUUUGAAGUUUUGGAUGAGUGGGUUAGUGAUCUGAGCAUAUCUACGGCAAAGAUCUGAUGAAUUCCGAGGAUGAGAGAAAGGUAGAGUGUUUGUGGGUUUUUUUUCUGCGAGUGGUGCAGAUUCACGGUGGUGAAAAUGAAAAAUUGAGGAAGAGAACCGACAUAGCUUUUUGUGUCGUUUCCCACAGACGGCGCCAAAUGUUGAUGCACAAAACCGGAGGUCUUGGAACAACGUAAAUCCGACCUUGAAUUCUGCACAAACGCUCAAGAACACGAAGAACACAAGGAUUUUAUCGUGGUUCACCCCAAUGUUUGGGCUACGUCCACACUGUAGUUGAUUCUGUUUCUCUGUAAUUGUAUGGAUACAAGUGUUUGGGGGAAGUCCCCCGGAGGAGAAAGAAGAGAAGGGAGAGGAGAGCCUCGGUGGUGUGAGGUCUCUCCUGAAUGUAAUGAUAGCUUCUCUUAGCCUUCUUAGGCUUGGCUCUUUUGCCUCCCUUAGAAUGAGGGGAGGAGUCCCCUUUUAUAGAAUAAGGGGCUCCUCCUCUUUUACAAAGUAUGGGCUUUAGUGUGAGGCCUAAAUACAAGGCCCAAGGCCCAAAUAUACGAGGCCCAAUAUAUGGUACCAACACCUUGAGUAUUCUCUAUCUUGUAGUACCGAGAUUCCUAACAAGUGGUAUCAGAGCCCGGUUGGCUCGUACUACGAGAUGGAAGGAAGUGGCAUUAUAAUCAAACUCACCAACUCCAAUUGGGUAACAUGGAAGCCAAGGAUGGAGGACAUUCUCUAUUGCAAGGAUCUGCAUGAGCCAAUUGAAGGAGAUGCCGCUAAGCCCGAGAGCAUGUCCGAUGCCGAGUGGAAGAAGAUGAAUCACAAGGCUAUUGGCACAAUUAGACAAUGGGUGGACGAUAGUGUUUUUCACCAUGUAUCUAAUGAAACCAAUGCCCGCGAGUUUUGGACAAAGCUUGAGUCCUUGUUCGAGAAGAAGACCCCAGCCAAGAAAGCAUUCUUGAUCAAAGAGCUCAUCAAUGUGAAGUACAAGGAUGGUUUAAGUGUAGCAGAACACUUGAACAAAUUCCAAAAUGUCAUCAACCAGUUGGCUACUAUGAAAAUGACGAUUGAAGACGAGCUACAAGCGCUCUUGUUACUUGGAUCCUUGCCAGACAGUUGGGAGACCUUUGUGGUAAGUAUAAGUAACUCUGCUUCUAAUGGUGUUCUUACUCUUGAUAAUUUUAAAAAUAGCUUGCUCAAUGAAGAAACAAGGAGAAAGACUUUAGGCACAUAUAGCAGCUAAAUAUUUGUCACAGAGAACCGCGGAAGAAGCAAGAGUAGAGGGCCUAGAGGCCAUGGCAGGAGUACUAGCCGAUCCAAGUCAAGGUUCAGGGGUGCAUGCCACCAUUGUGGCAAAGAAUGCCAUAUGAAGAAAAAUUGUCGAGUUUGGAAGAGAGAGCAAAGGAAAGGAAACAAUCAGAAGAAAGAUGAUACUGGUAAUACCAUCGCUGUCAUAUGUGGUGAUGUACCAGAAAUAUUAUCUGUUGGUGAAUGUCUGCAUACGGGCAACUCUGAUAGAGACACUGAAUGGAUCUUUGACAAUGGAGCUUCCUUCCAUGCUACGUCCAAACGGGAGUUCUUUAGUACAUACAAAGAAUGUGACUUUGGCAUAGUGAGGAUGGGGAAUGAAAGUUAUUCCAAAAUACUUGGAAUUGGUGAUAUUUGCCUAAGAACUAAUCUCGGUUGCCAGUUGAUGUUGAAAUAUGUGAGACAUAUUCCUGAUAUACGUCUCAAUCUGAUAUCCAUCGGUACCCUUGAUCGACAAGGUUAUUAUCAUCAUAUUGGCGAAGGAAAAUUGAAGCUUACUAAAGGUUUAAUGGUGGUAGCAAGAGCACGACUUUGUUGUACAUUGUACCGGUCAAAUGCCAAAGUUUUAAAAGGUGAGUUGAAUGCUGUGGAGGACUUAUUUCUAGACUUGUGGUAUAAGAGGCUAGGCCACAUGAGUGAGAAAGGCCUACAAGUUUUGGCAAAGAAGUCUCACAUUCCAUUUACCAAAGGUACGUCAUUAAACUCUUGUGAGCAUUAUUUAUUCGGAAAGCAAAUAAGAAUUAUCUAAGUCCUUUGACAUGAAGGACUUAGGGCCAGCCAAGCAGAUUUUGGGCAUGGAGAUAAUUCGUGACAGAAAAUCCAAGAAGUUGUGGCUGUCACAAGAAAAGUAUGUUGAACGGGUGCUUGAAAGGUUCAACAUGAAAGCAGCCAAAUCGAUAAGCUCACCUUUAGCCAAUCAUAUCAAGUUGAGCAAAGAGUCGUGUCCAAAAACAUAUGAAGAAAAGGAGAAAAUGGCAGUUGUUCCCUAUUCUUCAGUAGUAGGAAGUAUCAUGUAUGCAAUGGUGUGCACACGACCAGAUAUUGCUCAUGCAGUAAGUGUGGUGAGCAGGUUUCUCUCUAAUCCAGGGAAGGACCACUAGGAAGCUGUUAAAUGGAUUCUUAGAUAUUUGAAGGGGACUUCUAAGAUGUGCUUGUGCUUUGGCGGUUCCAAACCAAUCUUGGAAGGAUUUACAGAUGCUGACAUGGGAGGUGACCUGGAUGGUAGAAAAUCUACGUCUAGGUACUUGUUUACUUUUGUAGGGGGAGCCGUGUCUUGGCAAUCCAAGUUACAAAAGUGUGUUGCUUUGUCCACAACCGAGGCUGAAUACAUAGCCGCUACAAAAGCAUGCAAGGAGUUGUUGUGGCUGAAGCGGUUUCUCCAAAAGUUGGGUUUGAAGCAAAGUGAUUAUGGCGUUUAUUGUGAUAGUCAGAGUGCUCUGGAUUUGAGCAAGAACACUACAUAUAAUUCACGCACUAAGCAUAUUGAUAUUCGUUAUCACUGGAUUAGAGAUGCUAUCGAGAACAAGUUACUACAGCUGAAGAAUAUUCAUACCGAUAAUAAUUCUUCAGACAUGUUGACAAAGGUAGUCACAAAAUCAAAGUUGGAAUUCUGCAUUAAGGCUGUUGGGAUGGACUCCAGGUAACUUGGAGUCAUGAUUGGAAUUCCUCCCUCAUGGACUGGAGGGGGAGAUUGUUGGUAUAUGGUCCAGCCCAUGAUGAAUGUUCUAGAUUAUUUUAGUAAGCAAGUGAGGUGGCUAGAGCAUGCUAGACAAUUCUAGCAUGUUAUUAAGUUGAUGGAAGAAGUUAAAGAGUACUAGCUUCCUUAGUUGCAAAUGGAAAGAUUUAGAAGCUACAAUUUUGUGGCUAGUCUAUAAUUAUCUAUGCUAGAGGUUUGAAGAAUACAAUAGAAACUAGUAGAAUGCCAAACCCUCACCUAUAAAUAUGGGUGUGAUGUUGUAGUGAAGUAACCAAUUAAGAACCAAGAUUGAGUAGCAAAGGAUCAAGUCCAAAGCUAGAGUUCCACUCCAAGAGUGAGAGUGAGAGUGUUCCACUACACAUUGUGAGUGAAGUUUAGAGUGAUAGAAAGUGUGUGUUAUACUUUCUUGUAUCCAUCAAGCCUUGUCUUUGGCUUGGUAAGACUAAUCUUGUUGUACUCAUAUUUUUCAUAUAGUGAAGAUUGAUCCUUGUUUAGUGGACGUAGGAAUAAAUUGCCGAACCACAUAAAUUUUUGGUGUCCAUAGUGAAGAUUGAUCCUUGUUUAGUGGACGUAGGCAUAAAUUGCCGAACCACAUAAAUUCUUGGUGUCCAUUUUCUACUUUACCUUGAGCAUUCUCUAUCUUGUAGUACAGACAUUCCUAACAGAAUGUUUCAUGCAAAUUGGAUUUGAAUCUUCUGUUGGCAAUUUAUGAAACAUGUAUUCUCCUCUCUGAGAACUGGGAGAAGGCUGCGAUUCCUACAAACGCCUUGUACUGACUUACAGUGGUAAUUGGACUUGUGAAAAAUAGGCCAAGUUAAGUCCAGUUCCAAAUCUCAGAAUUCAUAUACCUGCCCCAGCCUGCCUCGUUGCAUUUUAAAACGGGUCCGGUGUGGUCUCUAUAAAUUCAGGCAUGGACCGGUAGGAAAAACCAAGAUGGACAUUCAUCCAAGACAAAGGAAAAGCAACAAGAAAAUAAAGACAGUUAAGCUUGGAGUUUCCAUCAAAAUAUGCCAAAGGAAAGCGCGCAAAUCUGCACAGCCCUAGCUAUUUCCUUACCAUGAAAUCUAACCCUUCCACAUGCCACUUAUUUUCCUCCAAAAUAACAAAAGCAUGUGCAAACAUAUAAUAUUUUGCAUAUAUGUAGAUGUAGCUGCAAGUUAUACCGCCAUAGAUGUAGAUGUACCCAUAUUAUCAUAGAAAUAAAUAAAUAUUUAUUUUUUGCUUUGAAUUUUCUACAGGUCAAAAGGGGGAGGUGACUUGUGCAUAAUUCCUGCCUAAUGUAUUCUUAAUUUGGAAAUUGUCUCGCUCAAACCCAUAUCCUUUAUAAAACCCACAUUUAGAGAUAGAUCAUAUAUACAUACAAACCAAGAACAAUUUCCAAUCAAAAUAUAUGCUACAAAUGGCAAUUCCAAGGCUUCCCCAUAUCUUACAACUUUCAGUUCUUGUGCUUGAUAACAUAUGUAUCUCUAGCUAUUCAUAGCUAUGAAAAGGAAGAAAAGGAUUUGGAAGAAGAAAAGAAGAAAAGUAUUUGAGAAAUAGAAAGUAAUCUACUGAUUGCAUUGAAUGAAUGAAAUGUAUAUUGUUUACAAUGCUUUUAUAACCAUCCCACACUUUUACUUACGAAACUACCCUUUCUUAUCUCUAAGAUUCUAACUAACCACAACCAAUUACACCCAUCUCCAACCAUACAAUUCUGACAUGUCAGCUACCAUUGAAAUAUUGCCAUGUGUCACUUAUCAUCCCCCCUCAAUCUUGGCUAGGGUUCUAAGCCUAAGAUUGCAACAAUGUUUGAAAAACACUGGACUAUGUAAACCUUUGGUUAAAAUAUCAGCUGUCUGCUCCUCAGUGGGUACAUACUGAACCAGGAUGUUCUUCUGCUGAACUUUUUCCCGAACAAAGUAGAAAUCAGUAUCAAGGUGUUUGAUUCUGGUGUGAAAUACAAGAUUGGAACAGAGAGCAAUGGCAAACAAGUUAUCAUAGUGUAUAAAAGGAGGGUCAGGCAAAAACUUAUGCAAAUCCUUCAAUAGAUUCCGAAUCCAUGUAAUAUCAGCAGCACAAUGAGCAAGAGACUUAUACUCGGCUUCAAUUGAACUUCAGGAAACAGAAGCUUGCUUCUUAGACUGCCAUGAGAUUGGAUUAGAACCAAGAUAAACAACAAAACCAGUAACGGAUCUCUUGGUAUUAGGAUCAGCUGCCCAAUCAGAAUCUGAGAAGGCAACAAGAGACGGAUCACUGGAUGAUGAAUAAGUGAGUCCAUAUUCAAGCGAACUUUGCACAUAGCGUAAAAUCCUUUUGACCAGAUCAUAGUGCACUUCAGUGGGAGUAUGCAUAUAUUAACACGCAAUAUUAACAGCAUAUGCCAAAUCGGGUCGUGUGAAUGUAAGAUAUUGUAAGGCUCCGACUAUACUGUGAUAGAGUGUUGGAUCAGGUAAGGGAAUGCCCUCUGAAUCAAGAAACUGAGAAUGAGGUCGACAUGGUGUAUUCACAGAUUUGCAAUUAUCCAUGCUGGCCUUGUGAAGUAAAUCUUUGGCAUAUUUAGUUUGACUGAGAAAAAUAUCUCCAUUUGAUUUAUAUGUAAUCUGCAGUCCCAAAAAAUACGAUAAUCUGCCCAUAUCUUUGAGAUCAAACACAUCCCCCAAUUCUAUAACAACUGCUUGAAUCUUUGUUGUAUUAGAACCGGUUAGAAUGAUAUCAUCAACAUAAAGUAAUAAAGCAAUAACAUCCACACCAUCAUAUUUCACAAAUAGACUAGUAUUAGAUUGUGACAUGGUGAACCCCAUAGCAGGUAGAUAGCCAAUGAACUCGGCAUUCCAUGCUCGAGGUGCCUGUUUAAGGCCAUAGAGAGACUUAACCAACUUGCAAACGUGAUUAGGAUACUGAGGAUCAAUAAAUCCUUAUGGUUGGUGCAUAUAGACCUCUUCUUCCAAGUCACCAUGCAAAAAUGCAUUUUUAAUAUCAAGUUGUCUCAAUUCCCACUUGUGUUGGGCUGCAAAAGAAAGAAUGAGUCUCACCGUAGUAUGGUGAACUACAGGACUAAAAGUUUCAAAAUAAUCCAAACCAUGUUCCUGAGAAUACCUAUGAGCCACCAAACGCGCCUUAUAUCUUGAAAUCGAACCAUCUGGAUUCUUCUUUAGUUUGUACACCCACUUACUUCCAAUAACUGCCCUGUGAAUAGGUGGAGGCACUAAAUGCCAAGUUCCUUGACUUUGAAGGGCAUCAUACUCCUCUUGCAUUGCAUUUUGCAGGUGUGUGUUUGUUCCAGCAGUUCGAAAGGAUGUUGGUUCAGCACUAUCAGUAAUAUGAGCCAUAAGAGAAAAACCAUUGUGACAUGUAUCCAUAUCAUCCAGUCUCAAAGUGGACAAUUCAGGCAAAGAUGCAAUAUAACUAGAGUAGUCUUUUCUAGAAAUGGCACCAGUUUGCAACUUGGUUUGCAUCCUGUGAGGAGGAGGAUCACAGUGUGAGAUAUUAUCAAGAGUAGAUGGAUCAAAGGGAAGAAUUACCUCCAAUUGUGCAGGAUGAAUGACAGGUAACACAGAGGCUGUUUGUGGAGCUAGGAGAGUUGUUUCAGAUUGUGUAGAUGAUGUAGAGCUAUCAAAUGUAGUGCUGGAACCCUGAAAGUGUGACGGUACCACUGGAACAGGAAACUCAGAACCAGACAAUUGCACCUCAGUACUAGGAGACAUAGGCACAAUAUCAGAUAUGGUGAUAGCAGGUGAAGAAAGUACUGGAAGAACAAAUGGGGCAGAUGAUCUACGACUAUGAGCUUCCUGAGUAAAAGACAAACCCUGAGAUUGAUAUGUGAACAUUGCAAAAUUGAUCUUGCAAGGAAACACAUCCUCAUUGUGAAUAACAUGUCUAGAAAUAAUCAACUUUCUAGACUGUGGAUGAUAGCAUAUAACCCCUUUGUAUCCAUGUGUGUAGCCAAGAAAAACACAUAACACUGCUCUUGGUUGUAACUUGUUUUCAUUGUAUGGUUUAAUAUAUGGAUAGACUGCACUGCCAAAGACUUUCAACUCUUGCAGCCUAGGAGCAUCACCAAAUAAUAUCUGAUAUGGAGAAUUCAAAUGUAAAAUCUUACAUGGCAUCCUGUUGAUUAAAAAAACAGAAUGAGCACAUGCAUGAAACCACAACUCUUGAGACAAACCAGCAACUGUCAUGAGUGUUAUGGCUGUUUCUACAAUAUAUCUAUGUUUCCUCUCAGCAACUCCAUUUUGCUGAGGGGUAUAUGGACAAGAAACUUGAUGAAUAAUACCCUUUUGAGACAAAAAAAUUCUGAAAUCUCUUACUUAUAUACUCUUCUCCUUCAUCAGUUUGAAUGCACUUAAUACCAACAUUAAACUGAGUAUACAACACUAUAAAACUUGAGAAAGACAUCAAAGACUUCUGAUUUAUUAACUAAUGGGAAUAUCCAAACAUAUCUAGAAAAGUCAUGUACAAAACUGACAUAAUAUCGGAAACCUUCAAUGGAUUUUGUAGGUGAAGGCCCCCAAAGGUCAUAAUGAAUCUUUUGAAAGGGAAAUACAGAUUUUUUUUCUUAUCUACAAAAGGUAAUCGAGUCAUCUUUCCUGAAAUACAAAAAGAACACAUAUGUUAUGUAUCAUCUACACUACUAGUUAUCUGAGAGAGCUUCAACAUUGUAGACAACACUUCAUUGCUCGGAUGUCCACACCGUUGAUGCCAACUCACAUGCUUGACUUUCUGACCAAGUAAUCCAGUGAGCUUAUUCUGAGACUCCACUAUAGCAUCUGUAAUCAACCUGGUAAGAAUCUUAAACAACUUUCCAUCAUUGCUCCUUCCUUGGUACAGCACAGCCUUGGUUACCUUGUCAUGCACAAAGAAAUCAUUUUCAUCACAUAUGAACCAACAGGAAUUAUCUUUACAAAGUUGUUUAACUGAUAACAGAUUUACUUCAAUAGUAGGCACAUGUAACACAUUUCGCAGAAUUAAAGAUUGAGGUAAUGUGUGCAAUUUUGUAGAUCCAAUGUGACGAAUAGGCAAACCCCCUAUUGCCAAUUGUAAUUCGAUCAGUACCCUCGUAUGCAUUGACUUGCUGAAGAGCAUUCACAUCUGCAGUCAUGUGAUGUGAUGCACCUGUGUCCACAAUCCAAGAAUCACUGGGCAAGUAAGUUGGUUGGACUUAUGCUUGCAUGGCAGUGAGUGACUCUGAUGGUACACUGCCUUGAUAAGAAAAAUUGUUCCGAUGAUAGCAGUCCAAAGCAUUGUGACCCUUCUUCCCACAGAUCUGACAUUCAACUACUGUACCACUCGAGUUAGGAGUUGUAGACCUUUUCCAGCAAUUUGGAGUGGUAUGACCUCUUUUGAAGAAAAUCUGACACUCGGGGACAAUAUGUGACCUUGUUUCAGUGUUACCUGACCAAGAAUUCCAGUUGCCAUUAUUCUGCCUGUUACCAAAAGAUUGGCAUCUGCCAUGACUUGUAUGAUUCCCACCUUGUGAGGAUCAAAAAUUACCAUUCCCAUUACCAUUAUUAUUAGGCCUGAAAGACCGCGGACCACCAUUGGUAUUAGAAAACUGCCUUGGUGCAGCAACAUUUCCCACAAAACCAUAUGCAUUCGGAAACUCAGAAUAGCUCGAGAAAGAAGCUGAUGAGGAAGGAAACUGAUGGCCAGGAACUUGAGGAUACAGUAGUGGCAUAGUAGAAGAAGCCGGUAUUGAAACCGGUGUAAAUGGCAAAGAACCACUAUUUGAAACAGUUCCUUGGGAAAAACCAGAAGCUUGCAUUCCAAAUGAUGAAGACCCACUUGGCAUUUGAGUUAAAACACCGCCAGUUGUACAUGGAAUCCCACCAGAGUUACUAGAAGACCCCUGAGAUGAACCUUGUGAUGAUCCUUGCAUAUACAAACCCGUGAAAUUAUGAGGCAUAGUAGUCAAAAGAGACUCAGCUUCUCUUUCAGCACAUAACAACUGCUCACGAAAUUCUCUUAGUGUGAUAGAAGUAUCCCAAGUAAGAAUCAUUGUCCUGAUGGUAAAGUAUUCUCUAGGCAACCCAGAUAAAGCAGCCAAGACAAAGUCAUUAUCCGAAACAAUCUCUCCAGCAUUAAGUAAUUGUUCUUUAAUGACCUUAAGCUUUGACAAGAAUUGAUCUAUGGAAUCACCUCCUUUCUGCACAGUGUGAAACUCAGUCUUAAGAGUAUUAACUCUAGCCUUGGAAACUGAUGCAUACCUAUCUUGUAAGUUAAACCAAGCAUCAUGUGCAGUUCUGCAUCCAAUAACAUGCUCAAUUGCUUCAUCAGACAAGGUAGCAAGAAGUAAACUUAACAAUGCCAUAUCAACAGAUUCCCACUCCAAGAAAGCUUCAUUAAUUGUUGUAGUAACCCCAUUUUCCGGAUGAACAACAUAUUUUGAAUGACACACAGCAGAACCGUCAAAGUGAUCAAACAACUUAUACCCUUUCAAAACGGAUUUAAACUGAAAAGCCCAUUUAGAAAAAUUUCGAUCAUUCAAUUUAAUCAUCAACAUCCCCAAAAAUCCCUCAAUUUUCACACCAGGAACAGUCAUGAUUUACAGAUCAAAGGAUUGCACAGAGAUAACACCAAUUGAAAACCUAAGAAUUGCAGAACACCAGAGAAUGGCUUCGUAUUCAAGAACAACCAAAAAUAGCUUCGUGCCUCAAAACAAAUUUAACAAGAUUCACGACUUCAGCAAGAAAAAUGGCUUUGUGCCCUAACAAUCCAACAAGAAAAAUGGCUUUGUGCCUCAACAAUUCAUCAAUUCAACAAGAAAAUGGCUUCGUGCCCCAACAAUCCAUCAAUUCAACAAGAAAAUGUCUUCGUGCCCUAAAACUUCAACCAGAAAUUCACCAAAUGAAACAUAUCACCUGAGAUUGACAUGUAUUCAGAUCCAAAACUACAGAAUCUUCAGCUUUUCAUGCCCACAGCAGAUCGACGACUCUGAUACAUAUGUAUCUCCAGCUAUUCAUAGCUAUGAAAAGGAAGAAAAGGAUUCGGAAGAAGAAAAGAAGAAAAGUAUUUGAGAAAUAGAGAGUAAUCUACUGAUUGUAUUGAAUGAAUGAAAUGUAUAUUGUUUACAAUGCUUUUAUAACCAUCCCACACUUUUACUUACGAAACUAUCCUUUCUUAUCUCUAAGAUUCUAACUAACCACAACCAAUUACACCCAUCUCCAACCAUAUAAUUCUGACAUGUCAGCUACCAUUGAAAUACUGCCAUGUGUCACUUAUCAGUGCUCCUAUCUAUUUCAUGGGCAGUUUCAGCUGAUCAUGAGACCUUUGUUCAUUGCCUUCUAAACCAUUCCCAACCCUCUCACCCAAUUGCCCCAGCAAUUCACACUUCCAACAAUGCUUCCUACUCAUCCGUUUUGGAAUCUUACAUCUGAAACCUCCGAUUCAACACAUCUACAACCCAAAAACCCUUCCUCAUCCUCACUGCAUUGCAUGAGUCCCACGUGUAAAUAUCCGUUGUUUGUGCCCAAAUCCAUAACUUUCAAAUGAAGAUUAGAAGUGGAGGCCAUGAUUUUGAGGGUUUAUCAUACGUGGCUGAAUUUCCAUUCUUCAUCCUUUACAUGUUUAAUCUUCGAUCCAUCCACGUAGACAUCAAAUCCGAGACUGCAUGGGUCCAGGCUGGGGCUACUCUUGGUGAACUUUACUACAGAAUUGCUGAGAAAAGCAAAAUCCAUGGCUUUCCUGCUGGUGUUUGCCCUACAGUUGGUGUUGGAGGCCACUUCAGUGGCGGUGGAUAUGGUAAUAUGAUGGGAAAGUACGGCUUGUCAGUUGACAACAUAGUUGAUGCACAACUUGUAAAUGUGAAUGGUGAACUUCUCGACCGAAAAUCAAUGGGAGAAGACCUUUUUUGGGCCAUUACAGGAGGCGGAGGAGCCAGCUUUGGAGUUGUGAUCGCGUACAAACUUAAUCAUGUACGUGUUCCAGAAACAGUUACUGUUUUAAAGGUUCCGAGAACCCUAGAACAAAAUGCAACGGACAUUGUCUAUCGUUGGCAAUAUAUCGCGGAUAAGCUUGACAAUGACUUGUUCAUCAGGCUUAUCAUGGAUAUUGUAAAUGGUACUACUUCAAAUAGUAGUGGAGAAAACAAUAAGACUCUUAGGGCUUCAUUUAUUGCCAUGUUUCUCGGAGACUCUGAGAGGCUCCUCUCAAUCAUGGACAAGAGCUUCCCUGAAUUGGGUAUGAAGCAAUCUGAUUGCAAUGAAAUGAGCUGGGCUCAAUCUGUGCUUUUCUGGACGAGCUUCCCAACCGGGACAGCAACUGAAGCUUUGCUUUCAAGAACACCUCAAGUGCUUACACACUUCAAGAGAAAGUCAGACUAUGUCAAAAAACCAAUUCCAAAAACUGGUUUGAAGUGGAUUUUUUAGAAAAUGAUUGAGCUUGAGACACCAUUGUUGACCUUCAACCCCCCACGAAGGAAAAAUGAGUGAGAUAUCGGCGUCGGCAACUCCAUAUCCUCAUAGAGCUGGGAAUCUCUGGAUGGUUCAGUAUGCAACAAACUGGAACAUACAAGGGCCUGAGGCAUCAGAUCAUUAUAUUGAUCUGACAAGAAAACUCUACAUGUACUUGACUCCUUUUGUUUCCAAGAAUCCAAGGAAAUCCUUUUACAGCUACAAGGAUCUUGACAUUGGGAUCAACCAUAAUGCUAAUGGCAUUGCAAGCUAUUUGGAGGGGAGAGUUUUUGGCAUUAAGUACUUCAAGCAUAACUUUGAUAGGUUGGUGAAUGUGAAGACCAAGGUCGAUCCUGGUAAUUUCUUUAGAGCAAUUCCACCCAUGGAGCCCUUCCCCCUGGCAAUCCACUAUUCAAUCCACCCUAUUAAACAGUAACUGCCUUAAAUGAAUAGUAACUACUAUUAAUGAACAGUAAUUGCCAUUUACAUCUCCACCCUUGCAACCCUCCCCCUGGCAAUAAGCAAUUAAAAUAAUAGUUUUUUUUGUUUGUUUAAAUAAUAAAAAACCCCUCUCUCUCUCUGACACAAAAAAAAAAAACAAUUACAAAGCCCUCGGGCCACAGGCCCGUCGACUUCCCCCCCCCCUUCGCUCGGCCUCCCACCCUCACUCGGGCCCUUCCCCGCUGGAGCUGCUCCCACCGGCCCUCAGGCCCUUUCUCCUCCCCUAUCGCCCGAGCAACCAACAUCCGCUGGAGUUGCUCUUAGGAAUGAACAAAGUAUCCCACCACUUCCAUACAGUCAUUAUUUAGCUUCUUGUUGUGCAUGUUUUUUUUCUAUUGCUUUGGGGUUAGUUAUGUACAUCUUUAAUCAGCCAAAGAAAUAAAAAAAGAAGAAAGAUAUUGCUUACAAGAUUGCAAUUUGUUAGUACUUAAUUAUUACAAGUUUCAAGAAAAAUCUCUCCAAAAAUUGACAAAUUAGUAGGCUUUCUGGGAUUUCACUUUUCUAACUCUUGUUAAAAAAUUUACUUGUUUAUUUAAAGACAUUCCGUCAUUGAAAAUUUAGUAGGGACUAAUUGGCUUUUUCUACUUGCUUUGAUCAACAUGUUGUAGCAUGUCUCACAUUGGUAUCUUGAUUAAUUAUACAUACAACUUAUAUUGAACGAUUCUAUUACUAAUUACAUCAUGCCCCUUUGCAUAAAAUUUCACACAUAGUGAAUGACACAUGUGGUUAAGUUUGAGACAAUAGAGUUAUCUUCGUGUGCGUGGCCCACUAAAGAGGACAUGUUAAAGCAUGUCUAACAUCGUAAACAUGAGGGGGGGGGCACAAUGUCGUUGCAUGGGGAUGCGAUUCGCCAAGCUGAGCCAAACAAAACAGUCUGCCCACCCCCCCCCCCCCAAAAAAAAAACCACCGGAUUAGGAAUGCGAAGGCCUCCCCUUUUCUAUCACUUUGUUUGAGAAUUACAUACAACUGAUAUUGAUUAAAUUACAUACAAUUUAUAUUGAAUGAUUCCACUAUUAAUUAUAUUGACCUUUUUUAUGAGACUCAUACCUUUUAAAUUGCACAUUUUGUUAAGAAGACAAUAUUAAUAUAUGGAUCAUUUCUAUUUUCUUCUGUCUCUUGAUCUUGGGAUAAAUAGUAUACAUAGAGUAGUUUGGUUCAACUGAAGUGACACCGUGAUCAAUAUCGAUAUCUAAUCUACAAGGAAAUAUAUACGCAUCUAAAUUGGAUUCCUUUUUUUUUUUUUUUUUUUUUUUAGUUUGGUUCAACUGAAGUGACACCGUGAUCAAUAUCGAUAUCUAAUCUACAAGGAAAUAUAUACGCAUCUAAAUUGGAUCCUUUUUUUUUUUUUUUUUUUGGGGGGGUGAAAAAGAAAAAUCCCAGUUGGUUGGUAUGGCCUAUGGUCUUUUACUCCUAAAAUUUUGAAUUCUCCUUGUGCCAAAAAAUUUAAAAGUUGUCAGCGAUGCGGGAACUGUGGCCACUUACUUAUUCCCCAUCCAUCUCAACCCUUGCCAUAGAUUGAACCUCAAUUAUUUAACUCCCAACUCCUUUAAUAAUUUCGAGCCUGUGGCCCCAAACAUUUACCUCUACCUGGUGAACGGGUUCACCGUUCACGUGCUAAGCCACUAAUACAAUGUAUAUGCAUAUUUGUUUGAAAAUAAUUUGUAUUAGUGGUUUAAGACGUCAUGACGAUGAUAAACUUGUUUUAUGAAAGUUUCUCUCAUCAAUUAUCUCAUGUGAACCUCAUUUUUUUAUCAGAUUUUGUCAGUGGAGACCUUGCAAUUCACGUGUGUUGCUUUUAUUUGUAUAUAUUUAUAUGUAAAUUAUACAAAACUACUUCAAAUAUGUGUCGAACCACAAUCUCAUACUUAAUGUUUUAAACAUUACAAUGUCAUACCUUAUCUUACGAAUUCAUUGCCAUAUCAUACUUCCGUAAAAUUUUAUGUUAACUUUGAUUGUUAAAUGAUGAGAUGACACGUGCGGGACCUACAUACUCACCCAAUUGAAUUAAAAAAUUGAUUAAAUAUUAAUAACCAUUAAAAAAAAGAAAAUUAAUUAAAAUAGUUUGAAAACUUUAAUUUUAACGAUAAAAACAAAAUAAAUGGUAAAAUGAAUAGUAUCAAGAUUGACUUUUUACUGUAAAAAUAUAAUUUUUCGUUAAAAUAAACUGUACUGAGAACUUUAGGUUAAAGUUUAUUUAAAAAAAUUAUUAAACAAAUUGCGGGACCCACCUCCACCACCUACUUUAUCCCCACUCCAUACGUCCCCCUCCCUUUUUCCCUCUUUCUGUUCCAGAAACCCUCCCCCACCAUUUUUCCUCUGCAAUUCUCCCCCGCAGCCCCAACAACAAAACCCACCGCCAUUGUCUCUUCCUUGUCCUCGGGGAAACUCUCUUCCUCACUCACUCACUCAUUUCUUCUCUUCCACUCCUGCAACUCCCAAUUCACUCAUUACCAUUCCCGUCUUCGCCACUCUCUCUUCCCCUUUAGAAAACCCGCCUCUGGCCCAAGAUGGGCCCAACGGUUCUACUCGGAAGCCUAUUAGCCUUUCUUCGGGAAUGUACCAGUCGCCGGUGACAAUUGCGUUGUGGGAAGCGAGGUUGAAGAUCUUCGAGAGGUUCUUUCUGGACCCGCCCAAAGACGCGCCGUCACAUAACAGGACGAAGAUUCUCUACAGUGCAUUUGUUGGUGUUUCAAAAACGUCGUUGAUGGUGAGGAGGGAGCCUCAGCAAACUCCGGUUGGUGUUGCGAGAAAUUCCUCUGAUUCGGGCCGGGUUAGGUCGUUUGUUGUACCUUCUGCAUGCUCAGGUCUGCAAACUCCAGUUGGUGUUGCAGAUUCGGCAGAUCAGACCUGAAAUCGAACCGAAAAAAUGGUUCGCCUCGAGCCAGGUGCACGGGUCAAUGGAGGUGGAGUUCCAGGUGGUGAUCUUGUUGGAUGGUUAGAUGGCUUUGUUUCUCUGCAAGUGAGAAACAAAGCUAGGAGGUGUGCUGAGCAAUGGCGUGGUCAGAAAUUAUUCGACUGGUGGGCUAACCUAAUAUUAUUAGUCCGAAAUCAAAAUUUAAUCCUAUUUUUUCUACAUAAAGUUAUAUAAUAGUAAAAACUUGAAUGUAGUAAUUUGAAGCAAGAAAUUUAUGCUAUGUUUUAUAGGUUUCUAGCCUUCAAACUUUCCAUUGAAUAAAAUAAGGAACUAUUUGUGGUAUGAAAGUUUUAAUUUAUUACUAUUAAAUAUAAUAUUAGUUAAAGUGAUGAGUUUAUUUAACAUUUAUUAGUUCUUAUUAUUCUUAAAAACAACCUUAUUAAUAAUAAAAUUUCAUUUCCUAAAUGAAAUAUGACAAAUAAAAAUUAUAAACUAACUCAAAAAUUAAUAUUUUUAAGCUUGAAGAACCAAUUGUACUUGACUCCGCCCUUGGUGCUGAGGUUCGGCCAUGGCUGCCUUUUUUCAAGUGAGAGCAGAGAGAGAGUGAGGGAGACAAGUGAGAGGGGAGAGAAUAAUUGAGGAACAGAGUUCUUUUAUUUAAUUGUUAAAUAAAAAUAAUAAUUUAUUAUUAAUUAAUUGUUUUUUUUUUCUAGUUGGAAAAGGAUGGGUCCGUUCCUACUACAUCAUCAUUUAACAGUCAAUUGAUAGAAAAUUUAACAGAAGUUUGACAUUGUAACAAAUUUAUAAGUUGAGGUAUGACAUUGCAAUGUUUAAAACAUGAAGUAUGAAAUUGUGUAGUUCGACUCAUAAUUGAUGUAGUUUUGUGUAAUUUACCUUAUAUUUAUUUAUUUAUUAAUUUACCAUUAUUGAUCCAACAGUUGUGAUUUAAACCAUAGAACAUGAAGUACAAUUCCAACUGUGAUUAGCACCUAAUUAAAAUAUCGUAUAAAAAAUUUAAAAUAUAUAUAUAAAUUGAAGGAAAAAAAGAAAAAAACCCAAAAGUCCCCUUCGUCCCCAUCCCUUCUUCGCACCUGAACCCAUCCCCCAUCAGCCAUCAGCCAUCCCCUUCUCCCAUCCCCCAUCCCCCUCUCUCUUCCUAUACCCUCUCUUCCUGUACCCUCUCUUCUUACUCCCGUAUUCUCUCCCCCUUUCUCCUUUUCAAUUCACGAUGCAACAGCAGCCAAUUCUUUCUCUCUUCCUCUUUUCCUCUCUUCCUCUCUUUAUACCCAGUUGUGAAGGUGCUUGUAAUUUAAAGGAUGUUAAGUUGCUGACUCUUUUUUUGUAGAAGCUGCUGCUUUGAGAUUUGGCCUUUUCCAAGCCAAGCGUGCAUGUUACUCAGGGUUGGAGCCGCAGCUAAUCCACAACAAUGUGAAGUCGAGUAAUGUGCUGCUGGACCGCGGAGGCUAACUGAAAUCAAAGAAUCAGGUAGUAGUGAUUGUGAUUGAUGACGUGCCCAAGUAGGAGGAGCCGGAGAGCUACGGAUUUGCCUCUUUUGCUAUCGACCUCGAUGGUCACGACGGCUCCGAUGGCCUCUUCGAUUCGUCCCCAACGUUGGCGUCGUGGUCAACGACUACCUCUCGUUCUUUAAUUUGUUCAAACAUUAGAAACCACAAUUUCAGGGACAUCUGCAACACUAUCUUCAGUUAACAAACCCCUCGGGUGGAGAAGAAAACUUGGGAUGGGGUGGGUUUUUGGAUGGGAGGGGAGAUGAAGAGAGUGGAGGAGAUGGACGUGGGUCAGGGGAAUGGAUUUAUGGGUUCCAUUUUUUUUUUUUUUAAUUUUAAAUAGGAUAAAUUAUUGUAAUUUUUAAAUGCAUAAAAAAAUUCUUUUUUUACCACGUGACACACAUUUAGCAAUCACGUCAGCUCUUAACGGGCCAAUGGAUGGAAAAUGUAACGGUAACGGUUGUAUUAUAUUGAAAUAAAAUAGUAUUUGAGGUACGAAAGUGAAAUUUUUAAAGAUGUUGUAUAAGGUUGCAAUAGAUUUAAAACCGAAGGUGGUAAAGUGUAAUUUACCCUUUUUUUUCCAGUUCCUUUUCACUUCAUUUUCUCUGUCCGUUCAACACUAUCUCGCUUGCCGCCGUCAAUACAAUGGCGUCCUAAGUGGGAACCUACGUCGGGUGCCUUAUCGACAACCUGAGGUGGUAAUAUGAUUUCCGGAGCACAGUUGCCGUGUUAGCCUUCUAUUUGGAUCGCGAGAAUUUGGUAUCCAUUUUCUGGGAAUCUAAGAGAAGGCUUCAGUGGUGAGACUUUCAAACAUGAAUAUCUCAGUACGCUGAUACUGAUGGACCAAUCAUUUAAUUGAAAAGUCGAACAAGUGGUGUGAUAAUGUCGGCUCAUCAGGCGGUGGGUCGUCGUCGAUUUUUGUCAGUAAAACAGCUAAUAGAAUGUCCUCUCUCUCUUUCUCAGUCUCUCUAGCUAUUUCUCAUUCUCUCCGUCUAAGCUUCAACUUUCUAGAUUCGACGGGCGACAUAUUGUUGAAGGGUAGUAGCAAACCUUCCAUAAAUGCAGCAGCAUACCCGGUUUCGCAAGUUCGAAAGAUUUGAGGGGCAUAAUCCGGACUUUCAGUGGCGAUUUCAGACGAAUGAAGGGGCGGUCCCUCUGUAGCUUCGCCAAUGGGUGAUAGGUCUUGGCAGUCUGGAAGGUGGUGUGGUGGUUUGCGUUGGUUAAGGGUGGGGAUGGGUGUGUGCUUUGGAUGGUUGAAUCAUGGGAGGCAGAUGGGAAAAGCAGGGCAAUUUCGGUAGAGAAGUUUGAUUCCAGAUGUUGGCUUUCUUUCAGAAUUCAAUUACCACCUUCAAGUCAGUAUUUGGAUUCUGGGGAUAUUAGGAAUCCGAUUAUUGAUUUUGGAUGGAGCCUACUAAUUUUUUCAUUCCCAAAAUUUGGUCAAUGCCAGAAUCACUUGGAGAAAAAUUUCAUUCCCUUUCUUCUACCUCCAUUCCGAUUUGAUAAACGCGUGGUGAAGACCAUGUCAUCCAUUGGAGAUGCCCUAACAAAAUUAUUUUGUUAGAUGGACUAUGAAACUCAUGUUAAAAAAAAAAGGAAAAGAAAAAGACCAAUGCUAAACAAUCAUGGAAUCCAUUUUAUUUUUUCUUGAGACAAAACGAGGUCUCCAAGUCAAAGUAGACCAUGCCCCAAUAGGCUACAGAAUUUAGAUAAAUUAAGCAAAUCCACUCCUAGCUAAUUGUACACCAGGGGCUUCCUUUACAAUACAUCAAAUCAAUAAUAUUACAAACAUCAAUGUAAUUAUCGAGCAUGACGUGAUAGACCAUACUGCAUGUAAUUCAUUGUCAAACCUUCCGUUCUCUCUCGUAGCUAAACAGGUGGGAUACUUUGUUCAUGCUUGAAAAAAUUAUGAGGAUCAACCAUGGUUUUCACACGUACCAGUCUAUCAAAAUUACCUUUAAAAUACUUGCUCCCAUAAAUCUUCGCAAUCUGAAAGUUAGUCUGAUUAUCCAGAUUAGCCCCAAUUUCUAGAUCCCGGUAGUUUUGGAAGGCCUCUCUUGGGUUCUUGGAGACAUAUGGAGUCAUCAGGUCAAACAACUUUCUUGAUAAUUGAAGGUACUUGCUGGCUGCCUCAACACCUUCCUCUACCCAUACCGCAUAGUAUUGAAUCAAAAAUAGGUUUCCAGCUCUGUGAGGGGACGGAGUUGCCGACUCAGGAAUCUCGCCCAUUCUUCCACCGUAAGGGUUCCAGUCCAUCCAAAAAUUGUCUAUCUUAAUCAUCUCCUUCCAUAAGGAUUCUAUAACUCGUUUCGGAAUCGGUUCGUCACAUAGUCAGACUUGGCUUUGAAGAAGCUUGGUUGUCCAUUUGUCCUGUUGAGAAGAGUAGUUAUCGGAGUUCCAAAUGGGAAAUCAGCAAAGAACACUAUGUUUUCAAUCCAGCUCAUUUCGAAACAAUCUCUUCGUUGCAAACCUAAUUCGGGCAAGCGCUCCUUUACCAACGGAAGAAGCUUGUUAGUUCGUCCCAAAAAAAGACCAAUGAAUGAUACUUUCACAGUCUUCUUUCUCCCGGUGCUGUUCACUUGUAGUGGCCUUACUCUGAGGAAGAGGUCUUUAGGCAGCAGGGGUGCUGCGUAUUGCCAUUUAUAAACGACAUCUGUAGCCCCUUGCUCUAAGGUUAUUGAGACGUUGAACACAGUCACUUUAGCUGGAACCGAAACCAACUUGAGCUUCCACGAGAGAAUGACCCCGAAACUAGCUCCACCGCCUCCUCUAAUAGCCCAGAAAAGAUCUUCUCCCAUUGAUUUUCUAUCAAGGACUCUACCAUCUGCAACAACUAUCUUAGCAUCAAUAAUAUUAUCGAUGCUAAGGCCAUAUUUACGCAUCAAAGAGCCAUACCCGCCGCCACUAAAGUGACCACCAGCACCAACAGUUGGACCAACCCCAGCAGGAAACCCUAGAACGUUGCUUUUCUCAGCAAUUUUGUAAUAAACUUGGCCAAGGGUAGCUCCGGACUGAACCCAAGCGGUCUUCUCCGCAACAUUAACAUUAAUGGAUUGGAGUUGAAACAUGUCAAGAAUGAUAAAGGGUACAUGGGACACGUACGAUAGACCCUCGUAAUCAUGGCCACCACUUCGGAUUCUGAUUUGCAAUCCUUGCUGUUUUGCACAUAGAACAGUUGCUUGAACAUGGUACUCGUGCUUGGCUGCUACAAUGGCCAAAGGUUUUGGAGUUGUGGAUGUAGAAAAUCUGCGGUUUUUAAUACGGUCCGACAGAACAGAUUGAAACGAGGUGUUUUGAGGGGUGUAAAUGCCUGCAUGGAUUGAGCUGGUAGACUGAGAUUGUUUAGAAAGGCAUUGCAGAAAGUCAUCAAUAUUGACAAGUGGAUCUGAAGUUGCCCAUGAAACUGUGACGACUGAAAGGAUUGAGAGAAUGGCGAGUUGAAAUGGAGAGCUUGGGAACUUCAUUAUUGUUGAUUUCUGGCAGUGUGACAAAACAAACGACUUCGGAGUAUUUAUAAAGAAGCCAAAGCACCAAACUUUGACUCCGUUUGUGCAUGGUAAUUAAAAUAUGGGUGCUUUAGAUUUAGCCCCUUACAACUGUUGAACUCUAGACAUAAACCCACCUGUAUUAAAACAUCUAAAUCAAAAUCAAAAUUUGAAUUUGAUGUCAUGUAAGAUAAAAGAUGUCCAUACAUUUAAAUUUAUUUACAACACCAUGCCACCUAGGGGUGGGUUCAAAAAACCGAAAACCAAACCGAACCGAAACCGAAAAAACCGAACCGAACGAAAAAAUCGAACCGAAUUGAAAAAACCGAACCGAAACGAAUUCUUUUGGUUCGGUUAGGUUUUAGUGAUCUAGAAACCGAACCGAACCGAAUUAAUUAAAUUAAUUUUUUUAUUUAAUUAUUUGUUUUGGGUAUUAUUUUCUAAACCCAAUUUGUAAGUUAAAAUGUGCUAAACCCAAUGUAUUGCCAAACUUUAAGCUCAAAAUAUUUAAAAAAAUGCCUAUAAAAACUCUAAACCCUAACCUAUUAUUUCUCCCCUAUAUAAGGUUCCGGAACUAAACCUCCUCCUGAAGUAUCUACAUCCAUCUCCAUAGCACUGUCUACUUCUGCCCCGGCUUUCUUUUCCAAAUCUACUCUCAUAUAACAUGUAACAAAAUCCAUAAACAUUUAUUUCGGGUAGAUUACUUGGGUAAUUUGUGAUGGAAAAGAAUCCAACACACACUAAAUAAAUCUACACACGCAUUACUUUUACUAAUUAAGUUGUCAACAUGCAGUUACAAGCAAACAACCCUGAUCUUUGAACAACAUCAUACAAUUUAACUUUUCUAAGUCAUUUGUACGAUUUUUGUGCUGUGAGGUUGUUAGUUUGGACUUUGGAAUACUUGAUUGAUGAUUUUAGUUCAACUUUAAAUGUUUAUUUUCAUUGUCUUUGAUUUUAGUAAGAAUGCUUAUGUUAUGAUUGUGUUGCAUAUGUUAAAAUUUAAAAUUUGAAUGUUUUUCAUUUUUUGAAAAAAACAAAACAAAAACAGAAACCGAACCGAAACCAAACAGGAAAAAACCGAACCGGAAAAAAACCGAACAAAAAAAAUGAACCGAACCGAAAUUUCAGUUUCGUUUCAAUUUUGGCAAAAAACCAAACCGAUUUAAACCGAACCCACCCCUAAUGCCACCAACAUUAAUAUGACUAUUACGGUUUUUUUUUUGUAGACUUUUAAUUUAUUGUCUUUGUUUGUCAACAACAUUCAAUUAGUUCAAGUUUUUUUUGCUUUUAAUUUAAAAAAAUAAGGAAGUUCUUUUCUUCUUUUAUGUGAAAUCGCCUAAUCCAAAUCUAAUUAGUUCAAUAUACAUUCUAUUGAAAAAGUAGAUACAUUAACUUGUGAAUUUUUUUUUAAAAAAAAAAGGUAAAAAUAAACUAGUAGAUACAUUGUUUUUUUGCAUAUAUGGGUUUGUUAUUAUGUAGGUAAAUUAUUUUUCAUGUAUUUUACAUACACUGGGUAUAUUAUUUUUCUUUUUUUAAGCAAUCUAACAUUUAAAAUUUUUAAUAGUGGGUGCACUGUUUGAAUCAAAUGUUUUUUUUUUUGUAGGGAAAUUAUUUUGCAUGAAUUUUACAUAUAUCAGGCAUUUAUAUAUGUGUGUGUGUGAGAGAGAGAGAGAGAGAGAGAGGGAAAUAAUUUACCUACAUUAAUAUGUAAAAUAUAAUUUUAUUGACUUAAUUAAGCAUGUAUAAUAACAUAUAUUAGACCUGUUUUAUGUUAUUAUAUAUUAGGCAAUGAAUUUAUAACAUUAUUGUUUUUUUUUUGGUAAAAUCAUUAAUUCUCUCUUAUCAUCCAUCUGCAUGGCAUUAAUUAUAUAUCAAACAUUCAAAUAGGGUUUAUAAAAAAAUAAAAAUAUUCAAAUAGGGGUAUUUUAGGCAUCCGAAUUUUUUUAAUUUGUGAAGUCAAACAUAAUUAAUGAAUUUGCUGAUAUGAAAUCUAGUCAAUGGUUUUAUUCAAGAAAAAAACUUAUCUCAGGUUUUAUGUAGAGAAAAUUAAAAUUUUAGAGCUAAAGUCAUAUUUUCAGUUAAAAUAUCAAUCAAAUUUCAUUGAGCGAAGGAGUUGAUGUGUGGCGGAGAAUUCAGGUUUAUCUGUUACUCGUUUGUUGAGGGAAUCUAACUUUUAAUCGAAUAAUACCAGAGGGUACGGGCAAUUUCGGUUUCGCCAUAAAUUAUUUGUCUUCUACACAAACACAAAGAGCAUGAAUGAAUGUUAUGGAAGGAGACGCAAGUGUCAGUAUUUAGGCCCAGUAUUUAAGUCGUGGGUCAACGCGGAUUUGAAAAAUGGUGCACGUUUUUGAUGCGAUGAUGCGAAUCAAGCAUACAUACAAGUAUAUCCCACCCAAAAAAUAAAAGCGUAUGGUCCCGGCCAAAAUAACCUUCUCUCUUUUUUUUAAUCUAUAUGUACCUUGAGAGUUGGAUCAUAUAUAGUUAAUAAGAUUAUAAACUAGUACAAGAUUUUAAUGAAACUUCGUUUUUUAUUUUUUAUUUUUAUUUUUUUAUCUGAGUGUCGUAACAGAGGGCCGUGAAAUUAUUAUUCGUUUCAUUUUAGUUUCAUAGUUUGGUAAAAUAUGGGAUUCAAUUAUGUUUUAUGAAGAGAAGAAUCAUAAAUAGAAAAGCGUCUAUGGCAAUCAGUAAAGGAUAAGUUGGGCACGAGAGAUUUUUCAGUGUGACCGGUACACGGAGUGGUAUACCACGUGUUACUACACAAAUGAUUGGAUAUGUGUGAUAAAAAGUUAACUUAAAAAAUAAAAUUUCCCACCACAUAUAUAAAAACACGUGAUGUACCAUCUGUGUUCCGAUCACAAUGAAAAAAUUCUCGUUGGGCACAAGUAGGGGUGGGCACUUGGAACCGAAAACUGAAACCGAAACACGAAUUGAAUCGAAGAGCACCAAACGGUUUGGUUUUGUGGUUUUGAAAAGGUUUCGGUUUCGAAACCAAACCGCGGCAAAGAAAACAGUUUGGUUUCAAUUUUUGGUUUUCGAAAUCGAAACCGAAAUUGAAACCGCAUGUUAUGUUUUCAACUAGGUUACUGGACUAUCAUCCAAUUUUUCACUUCGAGUCCUGAAGGCUGAAACUCAUCUUCAUCUCUCUCAAAAGUCAAAACCCAUCUCCAUCACUUUCACAGUCGACAUUAGUGCCCUAAACUCAUUAUGUGCGACAUGGCUGCUUGCAUCUCUGCGACCUCACCGCUUGCAUCCUCAGAUCCCAUUCAUUUGGGAGCCCUGUAUUCUGCAAAUCAAAAGCUUUGCAAAACAAACUUGACAAAUCAUUCACCUGCUCUUUGUCACAUCCCGGCCCGGGAUAGAUCACUUCCCGGGCCCGCUCCACCACCGUAGCAUGAUAUUGUCCGAUUUGGGCUCCGACCACGCCCUCACGGUUUUGUUUCUGGGAACUCACGAGCAACUUCCCAGUGGGUCACACAUCAUGGGAGUGCUCUAGCCCCCUUCUCGCUUAACUUCAGAGUUCCUACGGAACCCGAAGCCAGUGAGCUCCCAAAAAGCCUCGUGCUAGGUAGGAAUGGGAAUAUACAUUUAAGGAUCGCUCCCCUGGGCGAUGUGGGAUGUCACACUCUUCGUUCCAGCUAAUAUGGUAAGAACUUGGAACUUGUAUUAGUAAGUUUAGUUAAUAAUUUGUAAUUAAAUUAAUUUUAUAGUUAGGGUUCGUUUGAAUCAAAGAUUCAAAAAGGGAACUGGGAGCACUUUCUUCGAGUAUUCUGCAUACCACAUUAUAUAUUGAUAGCAAAAUCAAGAAUUUUCAUUAAUGCAGUUUUUCUUACUCAUAGGACAAUGAAAACUCUGAAGUUAAGCAACUUAUUCAACUCAAGAACUUUUUCCUCUCUUUCUUUCUUGUUUUGUAAAUCGUCUAUUAUUGAUUUUCUAUUUUCAUUGUUCUUUUGUUCUUUCUUGUUUUGGAGCAUUGUUGCGUAUGAGUUCUUUUGUUAUGUUUUCAUUGAUUUUUUGUUUUGUUGUUCUCUAGUCAGUAGUCAGGUGUAGUUCUAAGUUGUAGCAGAAAACUGGUGGAUUAAAUUUAAAGUCAUUUUAUGCAAGAGGCUUGAAAGUCGUCUUUCAAUUAAUGGUUAAAUUCCACAUGCCAAUCUAACAAAACAAACUCAUUAAUAUCAUGGCAUUGAAAUUCAAAGUUAGGACAUUACUUUAUUAAUUACUAUUAAUAUUAGGGUACCAAAUUGACAGGUUAAAGUUGAACUGAACUGCCCCAACUAGGGUUGAAAUAAAAUGGCAUAAUUACAUAUGGUCAGAGAGGUUUUCUUUAAUGCUUGUGUUGUGUGUUGUAGAUUAUGUGCAUUCCAUUCCUUUAAGAUAAUGAGCAUUUCGUAUUUUAUUUCAAUCAAGAUAUGAAGAAUUGCAGCAAGCAUAGUGGGAUUAGUCACUCUUCUACGGGGGACUCCCCUGAGAAGCCAGAGGACGAGGCAAUAGAAAUUGACUUGAAAAAUGAAAUAGAUGUUGAAGGUGACCCUGAAAAUGACGGCGAAGAAUUUGAGGGCGAAGAUGAAAAAGUAAGUAACUUUGAUUCAAGAAAACGUAGUUGGGUUUGGGAUCAUUUUACAACAUAUUGUGUGACGAAAAAACAGUCGAAAAUUAAUGAAAAGGGGGAGAAAUAUUUGGCCGAAGUAAAACGUAGGAGAGCUAAAUGUAAUUAUUGCCCAAAACAGAGCAGUGUGGGUGACUAUGCAGCUGAAGCGAGAGUUAAUGGCACCACAAGCAUGAGAUACCACAUUGAAAGAUAUUGUAAAUUUUACCAAGGGAAUAGAAGUAAAAAGCAAAAUAUAUUGCGUGCCCUUUAUGAUGAAUAUGCUCCCAAUGUUGAAGGUGGAAAAUAUAUGAAGAAAUCGGAAAAUUUACAAUCACAACCUUCUUCUACCUCAUCUAAUGUGGCUAUGACGGAAGAUGAUCUAAUUGAUGAAUUGAUGCAUUUUGUUGAAGAUAGUGAUGAUAAAGUGGUGGGAGAUGAGGUGGAUUCUUUGUUUGAUCCUUUGGUACAAAUUACAAAAGAGGAGUCCACAAAGCAUUUUAACAUUCUCCUAUGGUGGAAGGUGAAUGGUAACAAGUAUCCUAUCUUGGCCGCAAUUGCAAAAGAUAUUUUUGCAAUUCAAGUUUUGAUCGUGGCAUCGGAGAGUGCUUUUAGCAUUGGUGGUCAAGUGAUUUCGGAUUUUAGGAGUUCUUUAACUCCUAAAUUGGUGGAAGCCUUGAUAUGCAUGCAAAAUUGGUUGAAGGGCGAUAAUAUUAUUACUUUGGAGGAUGAUGCACUUUCAAUUGACCAUAUUGAGUUCUAUGAAAGUAUUGAAUCAGGUAAGUAUAUCAUUUGAAGUAAAAGAACUUUCUCGUUUUCUUUUUUCAACUAAACAUUAAUUAUAUUUUUUAUGUUUUGUAUUGUGUAGAGUUGGCCAAAUCAGCUUCAAGCAUUGCCUCUCUUGAUCCACAACCACAACAAGCUCCAAAGCAAUCUCAAUGUUCUAAUUCACAAAAGCCUCCCAUUUUGCGUUUACAAGGUGCAAGGCCUUCACAAGCUCAAAGGCCUCCUAAACCUUCAAAGAAUAAGUGUCCAAAAGGAAAAGGAAAGACAAAGGUUUGAAACUUGAACGAUGCAAUGUAAGUUGAAAACCAAGACCUUGUUGAAUUCCAUGAACCAUUUAUUUAUUUUUUGUUGUAUUAAUGCCAUAAGGCAUUUUGACAUUGAACUUUGUUUGAAACAUUGAAGUUUGAACUUUAGUUGUAUUAUGGCAAACUUAACUUUUCAAUUGGGUUGUAGUAAAGUAUUGUGAUUGGUGAUCAAGUUGAAUUUUAGUAGAUGUGAUGCGUAAGGAUUUAAAGUUUAAACCCAUUGAUGCAUUGGAUGUUGUCUCAAUUUUAGUAGUUGUCAUUUGUUGCAGUUUUGGUACAAGUUUGGUACAUGUUAGUUGCUUUUUUUGCUGCAGUUUUGCUACAGUAUUAGACGAUAUGGGGUGACUGAUGCUACAUAUGACUGAUGCCGACUAAUGUUGCUUACUGAUGCUGCAUAUGACGGUGCAUAUGGAUAUUACACGAUAUAAGGUGACUGAUGCUGCAGUAUUAGACGAUAUGGGAUGAUUGAUGCUGCAUACAACUGAUGCUACAUAAUGAUGUUGCAUACGACUGAUGCUGCAUAUAGAUAUUAGACGAUAUGGAGUGACUGAUGCUGCCAAAUUUUAUGUUUCUUUCCUCUUUCCAUGGGAUUCUCAAUUAAGUCUAAUCCCUUAAUUUGAAGAAGAUUGACAUCUAGAUGUUGCCAAAGUUUAUGUUUCCUCUUUUUUUUUUUUUUUUUUUGCAGUUUUGCCACUAUUUGUUGCUGCAUUGUUGUUGCUGUUUUUGCUGCAUAUUCAUUAAUUAAUAUAUGAGGAAAAUAAGACCGCCUUUAAAUUGUACAUUUUUUUCUCAAAAACCAAACCGAAACCGUUUGAAACCGCACCGAAUUGAACCAAACGGUUUAAUUUCAUUUCGAUUUUAGCUUCAAAACCGCACCGAACCACACCGUAAAAAGUUUCGAUUUUGGUUGCGGUUUCACUUGAAACUACACCGAACCGCACCGUGCCCAUCCCUAGGCACAAGCAGGAAAAGAGUCGAGCCAAGUACAAUUCGAUUAUUUGUGAUGACCUAAAUUAGCUAAAGGCAUCAGCGGAAAUUUUGGUUUCUCUAAAUGCUUGGACAUUUAGGUUGACUUGCCCUCAAUUUAACAAAUUCAUCUCCACCAGUAAAGAAAAGGGCAAUUGUAUAAAGGGCAGCAGCCUGUCGGACUGCCCUUGCAAUAAUUGCUGUGCCUUGAGCCAGCCAUGAUGCCAUCAUACUGCAGAAAGUGGGCCCCACGUGGACGCCACCGAGCCAUUGGGCUGAAUUUCCAGUCUGGCAACUGUUGGAAAUUCCAACUGUCUUCUCGUUUGGAUCCGGAGAGAUCCUUUUCCGUUUGUUAUUUACCAAUCAAAGAUGAUCUUGUUUGCUUUCCCGUCACGUCUUGUAGUGCUAAUUAGGGUAUCUUGUAUGCUUUUGCUUUUCUUUUGUUUUUUCGCAACUUUGGAAAUGAGUACAAAAACAUUCAACUUCGGAUAAUAUGUUUUUAAAGAUUUUAGAUUUGUACGUUUUGUGGGGUUUGUGAUACUUCCAGAAACUUUGUAUGACUUUGCUGUGUUCUACAGUGAUCUCUCUAUAGGAGAGUAUUCUUAAGUGUGAUUUUGGUAUAGAUAUGUCGUGUUACACCUAUUUUUGAAGAAUUUAUCAUUACCCAAAAUUUACUAGCAUUCUUAAAUGUGAUUUUGGUAUAGAUAUGUCGUGUUACACCUAUUUUUUGCAAAUUUGGCAUUACACAAAAUUUUCUCUUAGGCAUCAUCUUUUAGACAAUGCCUAUCUCACUUCACAAUGGAGACUUUUGUUUUUCACUCUUAGAUUUCAGAAUUUACAAAUUUGAGUAAGUGCCGCCGAUGCCUUCUCAUUUUUAGACUUCAGUAUUUAUAAAUUUGACACCUAAACUAUUAACACCAUCAAAUUUUGUUUUUUUCCGACGGUGACAAUGCAAUUUGGUGGCCGAAUUAGGCUUUUAUCUAUUUGUUGGUUGUGUAUGCGUAAUUAUGUUUAGGUCAUGUUAAAGUGUUGGAAUUCGUUUAAAGGGUUAUGUUGAAACUGGCCAUGGAAAAGUUAUACUCAUUUUUUUAACAUGUUUGUUCUUCGUUGCAAUGUUUAUUAAUUGUCAUUUGGUGGAGUGGAUAUACGUUUUGUUUUUUCAAUUUAUGUUGCUUAGUCGUUACCUAAUCUUGUCACUUAUUGAAGACAAAAUCUUUAGAUGGUUUUUUCUUUGUCAAGCAAAUCUUUUGGAAAGUUGCACUUUUCGUGUUAGCUAAUUAAUCAAAGAUAUAAAUUUUGUUCGACGACAGUACCUCUAAAAGAAAGUAACAUAAAAAUUUAGUUUCGUAGAGAUAACAUUGAUUACAUCAUAUUUCAUUUUGUUAUAUAAAAAUCCAUGUAUACUGUUAUUAUCCGUGACACCAUUAUUUUCACACAACUUUUGACACAUGGUUUUUAUAGGAUCUACUUCGUAAUGUAUUUCAAUGAUCUGAGUCAUCUAUCUUUUAGGUCUUCCUUCAAGAUCAUGUCUACCAAAAAUACCCAAAUCUGAAACCAUGACCAUUGGAUUAAGGGUUUAUGUUUCUUUGUAGAACUAUAUUUGUCUAUUUUCUUCACUAUAAAGGAAUGUUUUAAUGAUUUUAAAUUUGUAUAAUUGUUUACAAAAAUGAUCUAUAAAUGACUUUCUAAAAGAUAAACGAUUCAUAUAUGAAAACAAAAUAAUGUCACAAAUCUGUAUAUAAUAUUACAAGGUUGACUGACUCUUUUCAAAAACUGGUAAACCAGUAGGUUAGCUGGGACUUAAUAAUUGGUGUUAUAUUUAUAUAUUAUUGCUCAAUUAAUGGUCCAUACAUUUGGUUGCGUACACUCCAUAUGUAUUCUCGUUGGAUCCUUUUUGUGAUGAUCUUAGGAAUCUGUGAAUUAUGUUCAUUUAUUAUAUAUCGUGCGGUCAUAAAUUAUUUAAAUAUUUUUAUUUAAAAUUAAAUAUAAACAAUACUUAAUAAAAAUUGAUUGCAUAAUGUACGAUAAUAGACACCAUUCAUGGAUCUAUAGGAUCUUCAUCAAAAGGAUCCGGAGAGGAUCUGUUGGGCGUACACUGCCAUGGCCAUUAUUGAGUUUGAAUUCAGAUAUAAAGGCUUGGACAUAAAACUCACAUAUAUCAUCACACAUGAAUUAUAUUAGUGGAUAUAAUUAUGUGAGAACAAGCAUGUGGUGUAUACAUGGAUGACCAUACGUAUUCCAAACCAUCUAAAAUAAGUAACUCGAAUCCUUGCAAAUCAAGAAAAACCCAAAUGGGAAACCAAUAAUGUGUCAAAACCAAAAGCAACUAGGAAUACAAUAAUUUCUCGAGGAUAAUGUUAGGAAGAUAAUUUUUAAGCUGAAUUUACAAAGCAAAUAAUGUGUCGUCAAUAAAAAAAAUAAGCACGUUAAUCAAUAUUAAGUAAUAAUCCAAUUAUCAACAUCCAUAUCAUUUGGUUUACAAAAUUUAGUUUAAAAUUUUAAUCUCUCAAGCAUUACCUUUUUCUCAAACUUUCAUGAAUUGAGUCUGUAACAUCCCGGUCCGGGCCCCCACCACAUCCCGGGCUCGACUCCGACGUAGCACGAUAUUGUCCGCUUUGGGCCCCGAUCACGCUCCCACAUUCUCAGUGGGUCACCUAUCAUGGGAUUGCUCUCGUGCGAACUUGCUUAACUUCGGACUUCUGAUGGAACUCGAAGUCAGUAAGCUCCCAAAAAGGCCUCGUGCUAGGUAGAGAUGAGAAUAUACAUAUAAGGCUUAUAGGAUCCACUCCUAUGGGCAAUGUGGGAUGUUACAAUCCACCCUCCUUAGGGGUCUAACGUCCUCAUCAAGGGAUUGGUUCGGACACCAAAUUGUCACAUCCCGACCUGGGCCCCCACCACAUCCCGGGCUCGACUCUGCCGUAGCACGAUAUUGUCUGCUUUGAGCCCCGACCACGCCCUCACGGUUUUUUUUUUUAGAACUCACGAGCAACUUCCCAGUGGGUCACCCAUCAUGGGAUUGCUCUCGCGAACUCGCUUAACUUCGGAGUUUCGAUAGAACUCAAAGCCAGUGAGCCCCAAAAGGUCUUGUGCUAGGUAGAGAUAGGAAUAUACAUAUAAGGCUUACAUGAUCCACUCCUCUAUAUGAUGUGGGAUGUUACAGAGUCAGACUCAACUAGACCUGGAUAUACACACACAUGUAUAUAUGCAUAACUUGGUCUCAUUACGUGUGUGGAAUAUGUCUUUUGAAUACAAUGAUAUUCAAAGUUAUUUUGACAAUGUUACGUAAAUGACUAGAUUUGAGAACGAGAAUGACCGGACGUCCUGACUCCACAAAGAUAAGUAACUCAAAUCCUUGCACAUCAAGAAAAACCUAGAUUGGAAAGAAAUAAUGUGUCCAGAACGAAAAGAAACAAGGAAGCAUAAUAUUUCUCAAAAUAUUGAUCAACUGAGCCGGACUCAGCCUAACAUGUUUCUUGAAUGUAUAGUGGAUUGCUAUUUGGCUAGGAAAAGAUUGAAAGGGAGUUGCUACAAGACACGUUUGUGUACAUUAUUUGCUACAAGACACGUUUGUGUACAUUAUACACAUCACAUUGUUUAUAAAUUUGAUCUAAAAAGUUGGUUUACCUAGUAUUACUCUUUGAUAAUAUUUGUUCUCAUUACUUGUGUGUAAAGGGAACUGCUAAUUUGUUUUUUGGAUACAAUGAAACCGAAUUAAUUCUAUUCUCUAACAAUAUUAUGCACUACCAAAGUUGAACUAAACAGAGUUAUAGAGACACGGUACUCAUGAAGGUAGAAGAGAAUGAAUUAAAGUAGUAUUCUUCCUUAUAUAUAGAGGAUUAAGUGUUAUUUUCCUUCAUUAUUAGAGGUAGUUUUAUUUGUAUAUGUUAGUUAUUAUUAGAUGCAUUUAUUGUUAAUUUUCGCCUUUAAAUUCCAGGAGGAGCGAAUAAGAUAUUUGUCCCUAAAACUAUUGUGGCUAUUACUAUAUCUGAACCUAAUAAUAGCAAUUUUCGCCCCUAUUGCUGUUCCUGCCAUGCUGACAGUUAAAACAAUAUAGUCAUACAAUUAAGCCCCUAUUGUAGUUAACUAUUAUAAUCAUUUAAAUUUAAUUCCCUUGUAAAUUAGAUUAAGGAACAAUUACACAUACAUCCAAAUUAUAAGACUAUAUUUUGGAGAAGGACAAAUUUUUUUAUUGAUCUUAAAGAGGGACAAAACUUAUCCAUGUCGCAUAAUGUCACGACUGAUUGGUUUUUUAAUUGUUUUUACAUUUAUAAUUUUACCCUUGUAUAAUUGAGAGAUGAGUCUAUCUCUUCGUUAGCACUAGUUCUCUCUCUCUCUCUCCUUCCUUUUCUUUGUGAUUUUCUCUCUAUGUUCCUUCUCUUCUUACCCGUCUCUCUCUUUCUUUCUCCACGUUCUUCCUACCUUUCUCUCUCUUUUUCUCACUCUCCUUGUCCGUCCUUAUUCUUCUCUCUUAUUUCUUCUUCCCUCCUCUCCUUCUUCUUGUUCCUAUUUUUCCUUAGACUCAUAAGUGGUUUCUUUUCUAAGAACGAUUAGGAUUUUUUUUUAUUCUCUUUUUUUUUUUUAAAAAAAAUUGAUUUUUAAGCUUUGAUUGAUUUGGAUGCAUGAAUUUUGAAACUGAUAUUGCAGAAAUGCAAGAAUUUUUUAAACUAAUCUUGCAGAAAUGUUGAAAAUUUGAAACUGAUCUUGCAGGAGUACUAAAAAAAUUGAAACUAAUCUUGUGAAAGUGCUGAAAUUUUGAAACUAAUGUUGUGAAGUGCUAAAAUUUUUGAAAGUAAUAUUGCAGAAAUACUGAAAAUUUAUAACUAUCUUACAGAAGUGCUGGAAUUUUGAAACAAUAAGUGCUAAAAACUUUGAAACUAAUAUUGCAGAAGUAUUGAAAUUUUGAAACUGAUCUUGUAAAAGUGCAGAAAAUUUUGAAACUGAUUUUACAAAAAUGAAGAAAAUUUUGCAACUGAUGGUGCAGAAGUGUUGGACUUUAAAAAUGAUCAUGCAUAAGUAAUAAAAAUUUUGAAACAUUUUUUUUUAUCAAGGUAAAAUUUUUGAAACUAAUGCACAUAGUACAAAGCUUGGAAGAAAAAGAACACAGCCAUACUACUAAAAAAUGUAUGAGAAAUUCAAUGUCAAAUUGUAGUCUGACCUAUCUAUACUCUAAAACUAUUAAGAUUUCACAAAUCACAAAAGGAGCACUAAACACCUGCAUAACCUGGCAAGUAUUCAGUUUGAUCACGAAUCAUAAUGAUAUUUUCACAAACUUAACCACUUGUACAACUCGACAUGUGUUGGAUUUUAUUACAAAAAGUAUCGUGCAAUUAAGAGUGAAACCAUUCAAUAUGAUUGCAAUUUAUUCUAUCAAGUUUUGAAUGUGGAAUUACAGUCUUCAACAAAAACCGGUAUAUUUGUGACAUGUCGUUCCCUUUAUUUUGAAAAAGUUUAAAAUACUUUUUAUUUUAUUUUAAGAAAAACACAAUAUUUCAUUCAUUGAUAAAGGCCUUUACAAAUAUUUAUCAUGAAGACCUCGGUCCCAAAAGAGUCCUUGCAAACUAGAUAUAAAAAUACUACAAUAAAGCAUCACUAAUCGCAAAGUAAUGAGUAUACUUCAAGCACUUGUCCAAACUCAUCGAAAACUGCACGAUUACACAAAUCAAUAAAACCGUUAAUUUUCGUGUUACACGAAGAUUAUGUGAGAACAAAAUCUCAAACCAUAAAUUGGAACAUGGACUACGAUGCCAAUGGGUCAAUCACAUCAUCUAACCACCCCCACAAUCCCUGAACACCAUAUGAAGUAAAUCCAGCAAAUCAAACAUCUCCAUCCUUUACACUUAGAUCCAAAAGAGGUAGCACACCCAAAAAAAAAAAUUUAAAUGAAGCAACUCUCCUAUAGAGAGAAAUCAAACUAGCAAACUCAAAUCAAACCAAAGUCCAAGACAAUUCUUGAAAAUUAUUAAAUAUAAACAAAAUAAAAGGAUAAAAUCAUGUCGCCGCACCGCAUCCUCUAGACAUCCGAAAGUCAUAUCACUACACCGGCUAAACCCAAGUGUCGUAGUGACUAAACUUGAUCCCUAUGCAAUUAGGCAUCUUCCAUGGUGACUAAAGUGUUUCACAGUGACAAUUCAACAUCAAAAUAGAAUAAACGGAAAUUGAGAAGGAAGAGACCAAGAAUGAUUUUCAAGCCGAUUGCCCCAACCCCCAAAGCCAAGGGCAGGUCUCGAUGGCAGAUGAAUUUUCCUGGGUUUUCCGGCUACGGUUUUUCGUCAGAUUUGUUAACAAUGUUAUACAAUGAAUUAUUUAAUAUCAUCCUAAACAAAACUUUACGGUACAAAUAAGUUUAAAAUACUUAAAUCCGUUUUCUUUCUGCAUUCUUCAACGUUGAAUUAAUAAUGACAUCGCAAGUCUCAAGCAAUUAAUUUUUGCAAGCUCACGACUAAUUAAUCUGAUUUUGUUCUUUUAAGUAAAGGUUAAUUAAUAGGACCAAUUAAUUGAUUUUCAAUGCGAAAAAAAGAAGAAAAAUAGCUAGAUGUUGCAACUGAUCGCAAAUCGUUAAACAAUAAAUUUGACAUCAAGACAACUUAACCAAAUGACUUUCGUUAGGAGGAUUGCUGAAGUUCUCUUUUGACUGCAGAGCUUUUGCUGUUGUACAACAUUGAGGGACACAAAUGUCUCUGGCUGUUGUACAACAUUGAGGAACACAAAUGUCUCUGCGACUAAUUAGCCACAUUGCUAUAUUUAUAUCAUCUUUGCCACACAAAAAUUACACUAUUGCUAACUCACUUCUCUUAUCUUGUACAUAAUUACAAAUGAGUCCAAGGUAUAUUUCCACGACUCACUUGUAUUAAAAAGUGUGUCAACAAUAAUAUCAAUUUAGUGUGCCUAAAUAUAAUUACCGAUACCAUAUCGACUUGCAACAUUUCAAUUUACAAAUUAAUUUAAACAGAGUAACAACAUGUAUUAUUUUUUUCUUCUAGAGCAACAACUAGUGUCUAUUUAAGAACUUGCAACGUUCUAAAUUAAUUGUUUUGAGAAAAAGAAACAGUUUUUAGGCAGGAAUAUUAUUUGUUAUUAUUACUUCUUUGCAACAUACUCUGUAAUUAAUUGGUCAUAAACAUUACGUUUUCUCAUCAUAAGGAAAAAAAAACAUUAUGCUUUCAAGAACUCAAGAAGAAAAUACCGCAGUAGAAAAAAUUGCAAGAUAAUGAAGGGACAAAGCUCUGCAACAAUACCCUUCAUUUUCCCAUUCCUUUUGCUCUUUAGUAGCACUGUUUAUUGUCUCACUCCUUUCUGUGCAUCUAUUGAUCCACCAAUAAAGGAUAUCCCUGAUCUCAAAUACACCCCCAUACCGCUUCCGAAACAUUCUCAACAAAUUCUCAAUGACUUCCUCGAAUGCCUUGCGGUAAAAUUUCAGUCCACCAACCACCCUAUCAUGGAAGCCAUUUACACCCCACAAAAUACCUCAUUUCACCAAGUUUUGCUGGCACACACUAAAAACCGCAGAUACACAACGCUUGAUACUCCAAAACCUUUGGCUAUUGUAGCAGCCAAGCACGAACGCCAUGUGCAAGCAACCGUAAUUUGCGCAAAACAACAUGGGUUGCAGAUUAGAAUCCGAAGUGGUGGCCAUGAUUAUGAAGGUCUAUCAUACGUAUCGGAUGUACCCUUUGUCAUUCUUGACAUGUUCAAUCUUCGAUCCAUUGAUGUUAAUGUGACGGAAGGGAGGGUUUGGGUUCAGUCAGGGGCUACAAUUGGUGAACUUUAUUAUGAAGUUGGAAAGAAAAGUAGGGUUCAUGGGUUUGCAGCUGGAUCUUGUCCAAGUGUCGGUAUUGGUGGUCACUUUAGUGGUGGUGGGUAUGGUCCUUUGUUGAGAAAAUAUGGGCUUACAGUGGAUAAUAUUGAAGAUGCUAGACUAGUUAAUGUGAAUGGUGAAAUCCUUGAUCGAAUGUCAAUGGGAGAAGAUCUAUUUUGGGCCAUUAGAGGAGGUGGUGGAGCAAGCUUUGGAGUCAUUCUUUCGUGGAAGAUCAAAUUGCUUCCAGUUCCAGCCCAAGUGACUGUGUUUCAGGUAGAAAGGACGCUGGAACAAGGCGCUAAGGAUGUGGUUCAUCGAUGGCAAUACGUUGCACCUAAGCUCCCUGAAGACCUCUUCAUUAGAACAGCAAUAAAAACCAAGAAUGGCUCCCAAGAGGGCACGAAGGCUGCGGUAGCAAUAUUCUCUUGUCAAUUUCUGGGACGAGCAGACAAGCUUCUUCAAUUGAUGAAUGAAAGUUUCCCUGAGUUGGGUUUACAGCAAAAAGACUGCUUUGAAAUGAGUUGGGAAGAAUCCAUGAUAUUCUUGGCUGGUUGCCCAGUUGGAACUCCCCUAGAAGUUCUACUUUCUAGGCCAAAAUUGCCAGUAAUUUUCUUCAAAAGUAAGUCCGACUACGUGAAAAAACCAAUUCCAAAACAUGGUUGGAAAUCUUUAUGGAAAAAUCUGAUUACGAUAGAUCACUUGUUAGUGCAAUUGAACCCUUACGGCGGAAGAAUGAGUGAGAUUUCUGAAUCAGGAACUCCAUUCCCUCACAGAGCUGGAAAUCUGUUUUCAGUUCAGUACUUUAUUUCUUGGAAGGAAGAACAGAUUGAGACCAUCAAGCGGAAUAUUCAUAGGUCAAGAAAGUUGUACAAAAGUAUGGCUCCAUAUGUCUCCCAGAACCCAAGAGAGGCUUUGCAAAACUAUAGGGAUCUUGACAUAGGUGCCAAUCUGCACAACCGGACUAACUUUCGAACAGCCAGACGUUAUGGUAGCAAAUAUUUCAAGGGUAACUUUGAUAGAUUGGUACGUGUGAAAACUAUGGUAGAUCCCCAUAAUUUUUUCCACCAUGAACAAAGUAUUCCUCCCCUUUAAAAAUUACAGAGAAUCAUAAAGUCAAUUGCAUUGGUAAUGUACCAACAAACUUGUAGGUAAGGAUACAACAGGGUAAAGUGGGCAAAAAACAUACAAGCAAUUGGAGUUAUGAAAUUAAAAUUUCUUAUUAGUAUGGCGUUUCCUAUGACACAAUUGAUUAGUUCUGAGAGUUUUGAUCUCUGACAUGAUCUUGAUAGUACUAGAUUCAUUGGCUUCAAUGGAUCCUUCAUCAGUUUCAGUUUCUUGCAAUAUUUAGGAUUAGUUGUUAAUUAACUUUUGUUGAUGCACAAAACCGGAGGUCUUGGAACAACGUAAUUCCGACCGUGAAUCUGCUAGAAAGUAAAGAACACAAGGUGUAUCGUGGUUCAUCCCAAUGUUUGGGCUACGUCCACACUGAUGUUGAUAUUGUUUUACUCUGAAUGGUGAAUAUACAAGAAGGCUAGAGGCAGUGUGCUCUCUAGCCUAUUUUCUGUGUUUGCCCUCUCUGAGAUGUUUUCUCUCUUCCCAUGGCCUAAACCUUGACCUAUCCUAAUGAGGAGAGUGAUGAGUCCUUUUAUAGAAUAAGGGCUCCUCACUUAUUAUAUAUUUGCCCAUUCAUUUAUUACAUAAUUACAUUUGAGUCCCCUGAGUAUUUAUACGAGGUCUAAAUACGGAGGCCCUAAAUAUGGUACAAAUAGUAGUCCCCUAAGUCUUCAGUCAAGAGAGUCUUUUGGCUUAAGACUUGAAAUUCAGUCCAUGUGUGGGCCGAAGUAACUAGAUGUUGUCUAGAACUGAUACUCGAUAUGAAGUGGUGCUCAAUGUGAAAUGAUGCUCAACUAGAAGUAGGACAUGUUGCAAGGCUGCUCGGCUUGUGGCUUAUGUUGCAUUGGUUGGCUCUGCUUGUGGCGUUGAAGGUGAGAGAGUCCCUUUUAUAGAAUAAGGCAUCGCUCCUCAAUACAUAAAUGAUGGGCUAGAGUUGAUGCUCGCGGCAAGACGGUUGCUCAGCAGGCGGCGAUGCUCUCUAAUGAUGGUGAGGGGGUCCUUUUUAUAGAAUAAGGGCUCGCUCCUCAAUACAUAAAUGAUGGGUUAGGAGUGAUGCUCGCUGCGAUGCCGUUGUUCAGCUGGCGGCGAUGCUCUAUAAUGAAGGUGAGGAAGUCUCUUUUAUAGAAUAAAUGUUCGCUUCUCAAUACAUAAGUGGUGGGUUAUGAGUGAUGCAGGCGGCGAGGCUGUUGCUCAACUAGUGGCGAGGUUGUUGCUCAGCUGGCGGCGAUGCUCUCUAAUGAAGGUGAGGGAGUCAUUUUUAUAAAAUAAGGGUUCGCUCCUCAAUACAUAAGUGAUGGGCUAAGAGUCUUUCUUUAAUGAAGGUGAGGGAGUCCCUUUUAUAAAAUAAGGGUUCGCUCCUCAAUACAUGAAUAAUGGGUGCUCUCUAAUGAAAGUGAGGGAGUUCCUUUUAUAGAAUAAAGGUUCACUCCUCAGUAUAUAAAUAAUGGGCUAAGUCCCCCAAGUAUUUUUCAUGAGGCCCAGUUGCGGAAGCCCAAUAUAUGGUACAUAGUGUAGUCCCCCAAGUCUUCAGUCAAUAUAGUAUGUUGGCUGGAGACUUCAAAUUCAAUCUAUGUAUGGGCUGAAGUAGCGGUUGUUCAGAUGCGGUCUUUGUAUACUAUGCACUGAAGCUUUGUAGGUGAGGCUUUGAAAGUAAAGCUUUGAAGCUAGAGCUUUGUAAAUGAAGCUUUUGAAGCUGAAGCUUUUGUAAAUGAAGCUUUUGAAUGUUGCUUGACAUGAGUGAUGCUCAUAGAUGUUGACAUGAGUGAUGCUCAUGAAUGUUUAUGUAUGAUUGACAUGAGUGAUGCUCAUGUAUGAUGAUGAUUGUCAUGAGUGAUGCUCAUGUAUGAUUUUUUUGGAGUACUGGACGUACUUUUGAUCACUUAGUUGGUGAUAAUAGAGGGUGAACCUUAAGUGGAGGGAUGGAGGUUGGAGUUUGAAGUCAUAGGGCCUGACUCUUUUUGGCAUAUGGGCAUUCGCCCUCCACAUAACAUUUCAUCCCACUAGUUUGGGCUUGUCGACAGUUUGCCUUUAUUUUUAUUUUUGGCAUGCUGCCUUCUUUACACAUCAGUAUAACUAUUCAAUAAUUGCUCCAAUUUGCAGAAGACAACUUAAUAAAAUAUUCAUCAAUGACAGUGGGUAUGGGCUGUAAAGAUAAGAGUCUUAUCUUUGUGGUUGUUUUCUCUGAGUGCGAAUGGAUGAUUGAGUGUGGCAGAGGAGAGACAUGUGCAUGGUGGGAAUGAUGCUCAAUGUCUUAUCUUUGAAGAUUUGCAGGCAUGCCUUAAAACAAACACAUCCAUAGCUUUUCCAUACCGUCCACCUUCAAAUUAUGCAGCAAAUUAGUCUCUUUAAAUACACCCACUUGCUCAUUUUCUUGUAGCUUUUUCAGAAUAUUCAGAGCAUGCUCCUUUGCAAAUUUGCAUGCUUGCUUUACAGCAAACACAUCCAUAACUUUUCCAGGCUGUCGACAAAAGCCAUUUUGCAUAAUAAAGUUCUUAUCUCUAUUUUCCCCCAGACAGUGAAGAUGGCAGCAUGUGACCAGCCGUAAUCAUGCCCUCCGCCAUCUGUAGAUGACAACAGAUCAUCAAUGCCAGUCCUUCCCACCUUGGCCGAUAAGAUUUGCAUCGACACCAACAACUUGGUAUAAAUGCCUUCACUUAGUUCAAUAAUCCCAGUUGUUUACGUUGGAUCACCACCAAGAGUACUAAGAGCGUGGUUUGCAACAAAACAAGCAUAUAAUCCUUCAUCAGAUCCUAACUUUUGCUAUUGCUGCUGCUUUCAGAUUCAUCGUCUUCGAGUUUUCGUCGUAGAGCUUCAGUCUUGAUCUCAUCCAGAAGGUCGUCUGCAGCAUACAGAGCAUCUUUGAGUUCGUCGAGCCACUCCCUCAUAGCUGGGUUUUUGAACUGCUUCUCAUCUGCAUCAUCAAGAACCGAAUUAACUAAGCAGCUUAAUCUUCAACUUCUUGAGCAGUCCGCUGAUGAUCUUUUGUCUGCGGAUGAAGUCGACGAUGGGACGGGAGGCCAGCCUAUCAAAUAAGACAGAGAGAAAGGAAGAGAGAAGAACACCGCCCAUAACUUCUAUCGCCAUGGAUUUCAAUCUUCUGAUGGAUGGGAAGUUAAAAGAAAUUGGAUCGGGUGAGGGCGCGGUACCAGAACUUGCAAACCAAUAAGGCCCUACUGCGGUCGCGGCGGGAGGUGAGGAAGCAGAUGACGUUUUGCAGAACGUUCUCGAGGACUUGGUCCGAGUAGGGGACAAUAUACUCGACAGAGGUACCUACGCCAGAGCCGAAUACUCGAGAGAACUUGGCCGAGAAAGCUGAGUGUUUUUUGGUGACAAAAUUUUCUUCUUUUUUUUUGUGCACUUUCGCUUCUGUGUGUGUACAAGAAACUAGAGAGAACACAGAAGACUAGAGGGGAGAGAGAUAGAGGUGGUGAGGUUUUGGGUUUUGCAAUGACUGUGCACGUGUUUGGUUCUUGGGUUUCUGCAGAUUCACGGUGGAUAUUGUGGUGAGGUUUCACGGUGGUGAGAUGAAAAAAUGAAAAAGAACCGACAUAGUUUUUCGUGUCGUUUCCCACAGAUGGCGCCAAAUGUCACUACUACAAUAUUAGCUUUAGGUGUCGAACGAUUCUGGCGGUUAAUAAGUCAUUCUGAUGGAUAAAAGAUAUCCGACACAUAAUUUAUUUACUGUCGGAUUAAAGUUAAUUUUUGUCGGAUAUAUCCGACAUAAAUUACUAGCGGAUUUAACCGCCAUAAAAUUAUUAUAACUCUCAGUAUUUUGAAUUCUUUUUUUUUUUAAAUAUUUUUAACAUAUUCUGGCGAUUAUAACCGACAUAAAUUGACUAUUUUAUUAUUUUAAAAUGUUACAUUGAUUAAAAUAAAUAAACAAAUGGUUUAAUUUUUUUUUUCACUCACAGUCCCGUUACCUAAUCUCUGAAUGUUUUUUUUUUUUGCAAUUUUUUACACAUGCUAUCUCGGAGUAUAUACAAACAUAUUUGACUGUUGGAUCGUUGAAACUAGUUUCGUAGAAUGCAUAUCCUAUCAAAUUGAUAGAUUUAACAAACACUUAAGAGUUAAUGUUAUACUUCCAUUAAGUAUAAAAAAUUAUCCACUGGUAUAAAUAUUUUAAAUUGAAGAUCGAAUUCGUUCAAUGCAUUAUUAUAGGGUCGAGGAGUGUAGCUAUAAAAAAUCAUCAAAAUCAGAGCUAAAAUAACUGUUAAAUUAUGAUUUUUUGUUUAUAACCAUUGAACAUUUUUGUUUCGUUACCUAAUCUCUGAAUGUUUGUUUUUUACGAUUUUUUACGUAUGCAAUCUCAGAGUGUGUACAAAUAAGUUUGAUGGUUGGAUCGUUGAAAAACGUUUCGUAGAAUGCAUAUUGCAUCAAAACUAUAGAUUAAACAAACACUUAGAGUUAAUAUUAUACUUCUAUUAACUAUAAAAUAAGAUUUUGUGGUAUCCACUAAUGUAAAUAUUUUAAAUUGAAGAUCAAAUUUAUUCAUUGCAUUCUUAUAGGGUUGAGGAGUGUAGCUGUAAAAAAUCAUCAAAAUCGGAGUUAAAAUAAUAGUUAAAUUGUGAUUUUUCUUUUAUAACCGUCGAAAACUUUUGUUCCGUUACCUAAUCUCCGAAUGUUUGUUUUUUAUGAUUUUUACGUAUGCAAUCUCGGAGUGUGUGCAAAUAAGUUUGACGGUUGGAUCGUUGAAAAAAGUUUCGUAGAAUGCAUAUUGCAUCAAAACUGUAGAUUAAACAAACACUUAGAGUUAAUAUUAUAAAAUAAGAUUUUGUGGUAUCCACUAGUGCAAAUAUUUUAAAUUAAGGAUUGAAUUUAUUCAUUACAUUCUUAUAGGGUCGAUGAGUGUAUAUGUAAAAAAUUAUCAAAAUCGGAGCUAAAAUAACCAUUAAAUUGUGAUUUUUCGUUUAUAACUGUCGAAAACUUUUGCUCCGCUACGUAAUCUAUGAAUCUUUGUUUUUACAAUUUUUUACGUAUGCAAUCUUGGACUGUGUACAAAUAAGUUUGACGGUUGGAUCGUUGAAAAACGUUUCGUAAAAUGCAUAUUGCAUCAAAACGGUAGAUUAAACAAACACUUAGAGUUAAUAUUAUAAAAUAAGAUUUUGUGGUAUCCACUAGUGCAAAUAUUUUAAAUUAAGGAUUGAAUUUAUUCAUUACAUUCUUAUAGGGUCGAUGAGUGUAUCUGUAAAAAAUUAUCAAAAUCGGAGCUAAAAUAACAAUUAAAUUGUGAUUUUUCGUUUAUAACUGUCGAAAACUUUUGCUCCGCUACGUAAUCUAUGAAUCUUUGUUUUUACAAUUUUUUACGUAUGCAAUCUUGGAAUGUGUACAAAUAUGUUUGACGGUUGGAUCGUUGAAAAACGUUUCGUAGAAUGUAUAUUGCGUCAAAACGGUAGAUUAAACAAACACUUAGAGUUAAUAUUAUACUAUUAUUAAGUAUAAAAUAAGAUUUUGUGGUAUCCACUAGUGCAAAUAUUUUAAAUUAAAGAUCGAAUUUAUUCAUUACAUUCUUAUAGGCUCGAGGAGUGUAUCUGUAAAAAAUCAUCAAAAUCGGACCUAAAAUAGCCGUUAAAUUGUGAUUUUUCAUUUAUAACUGUCGAAAAUAUUUGCUCCGUUACAUAAUCUUUGAAUCUUUGUUUUUUACGAUUUUUUACGUAUGCAAUCUCGGGCUGUGUACAAAUAAGUUUGACGGUUGGAUCGUUGAAAAAAGUUUCGUAGAAUGCAUAUUGCGUCAAACGGUAGAUUAAACAAAUACUUAGAAUUAAUAUUUUACUAUUAUUAAGUAUAAAACAAGAUUUUGUGGUAUCCUCUAGUACAAAUAGUUUAAAUUAAAGAUCGAAUUUAUUCAUUACAUUCUUAUAGGGUUGAGGAGUGUAGCUGUAAAAAAUCAUCAAAAUCGGAGCUAAAAUAACCGUUAAAUUGUGAUUUUUCGUUUGACCGUCGAAAACUUUUGCUCCGUUACGUAAUCUCUGAAUUUUUUUUUUACGAUUUUUUACGUAUGCAAUCUCGGACUGUGUACAAAUAAGUUUGAUGGUUGGAUCGUUGAAAAAAGUUUCGUAUAAUGCAUAUUGCGUCAAAACGAUAGAUUAAACAAAAACUUAGAGUUAAUAUUAUACUUCUAUUAAGUAUAAAAUAAGAUUUUGUGGUAUCUACUAGUGUAAAUAUUUUAAAUUAAAGAUCGAAUUUAUUCAUUACAUUCUUUUAGGGUCGAGGAGUGUAUCUGUAAAAAAUCAUCAAAAUCGAAGCUAAAAUAACCGUUAAAUUGUGAUUUUUCGUUUAUAACUGUCGAAAACUUUUGCUCCGUUACAUAAUCUCUGAAUCUUUUUUUUUUUAUGAUUUUUUACGUAUACAAUCUCGGAUUAUGUACAAAUAAAUUUGACGGUUGGAUCGUUGAAAAAAGUUUCGUAGAAUGCAUAUUGCGUCAAAACGGUAGAUUAAACAAACACUUAAAGUUAAUAUUAUACUAUUAUUAAGUAUAAAAUAAGAUUUUAUGGUAUCCACUAGUGCAAAUAUUUUAAAUUAAAGAUCGAAUUUAUUCAUUACAUUCUUAUAGGGUCGCGGAGUGUAACUGUAAAAAAUCAUCAAAAUCAGAGCUAAAAUAACCGUUAAAUUGUGAUUUUUCGUUUAUAACUGUCGAAAACUUUUGUUCCGUUUCGAAAUCUCUGGAUGUUUGUUUUUUACGAUUUUUUACAUAUGCUAUCUUGUAGUAUCUACAAACAAGUUUGACGGUUAGAUCAUGAAAACUAGUUUCGUAAAAUGCAUAAGUUUGCCAAAAUUUUGAAGUGGGAAAAGUAAUUUGUGCUAAAUUUUUAUUUAUGUUUUUCUAGUAUUGAUUAGACAAUAUUUAGUUUGUGUGAAGACAUUUUCAUUGUACAAUUCUCUUUUUGUUUUUUUAUCGCAUAUUUUACAUAGAUUAUUAUCUAUUAAACCAAAAAUGUAAAAAUUAUCUAUUAAACCAAACAAUUAUUUAUUUAAAUUUAAAAAACAUAUUAUAUUUAAAUACAUAUUAUUUAUUUAUUUAUUAAACCAAACAACUAUUGACACACUCCGAUCCUAGAAUCAAGGCGUGUUCUAAAUUUUGGGUCGCUUUUCUGGAAGCUCUGAUACCAAACUGACACACCCCGAUCCUAGAAUCAAGGCGUGUUGGCUACGUCACGCUCACGUGACGGCCAGUACGCCUUGAUUCUAGGAUCGGGGUGUGUCAACUAUUAUUUUAUUUUUUUAAAUCGUAACAAAAUUUGGGGGGGGGGGAUUUUGGGGGGAAUGUUGACGCCAUUUUUUUGCUAUCGGUUAAAACCGACAUUAAUGAGAAUUUUCUAUCGGGUUUUUAUUUUUAAAAAACAUUUCUGUCGAUUUUAACCGAUAGUAAUGAACAUUUCCACAUUAUAACCCCUUCAUCUCUUCCUUGCACCCGUGCUUCUCCCUUCCCCAUUUUCUCCUCUUCUCAUUUCCUUCUCCUUCUCUUCUCUCCUCUCCUCAUUUACUUCCACUUCGAACACUUGCAACCAAAGUUCAUUAGCUAUCUCGAAUAUGGCGAAGAAGAAGGUAACACUCUCGCUCUCGCUCUUUCUCUUUCUCUCCAUCUGUGUCUCUCUCUCUGUGUCUCUCAUAUGGCGAAUAAUUUUGUGUCGUUUGUUUCAGUGGGUUGCAAAGCUAUUCGUUUCCUUCUGUUCCCAACAAUAAAGAUGAGAUUUUUCAGCUGCUUUUGUAAAUUACACAGCUACCCAAGACUUGCCCAGUUUGCUAUUUUUGUAUUUUAUCAUGUUUUUGUGAUUUUUUAGUGGAUCUGUCACUCCCAAAUGAUUAUCCAAUGAUUGUAGCUACACCCAUUUUGUCCAUUUCUCCAAAUGGAUCUUGUAUGAUUUCACCUGAUUGUGUUAGAAAUCAUUAGUUUUUUGGUGAAAGAUUAUGUUGGAAAUUAGUGUGAUCAUUUUUACCUUGAGGGAGUUGACCAAAUGUGAAACUAGCUGUUGUGGUUAAAUAUUUGGUGAAUUUAGAUUGAACUUGAAGAUCAUGUAACUCAAGGCAGCACUUGGCCCUCUGUUUGGACGCAAUUUGAAGUACUGCACCGAUGGAUGCCUUCGGAGAUAUUUGGAAGCUCGGAGCUGGAAUCUUGAGAAGGCGAAGAAAAUGGUUGAAGAGACACUGAAGUGGAGGGCAACUUAUAAGCCUGAAGAACCCGUUAGGUAAGUUGGAUGAACUUUUAUGAUAUUCACAAACUAGAAAUAGAUAUAUUUGUAGGAUGUUUGUUUCUCUUGAUACGUUGGCAAUUCUGCUUGAGCAUAAACUAAUCAACGUUUGAGUUUUGUAUAUUUUGUUUUCAUCAAAUAUAUGGCAGAAUCAAAACUUAAUAUGGACUCAGAUGGUGUUCUCCAACCACAUUGCGUGUGAAUUGCGUUCGUUUAAUUCAUUUGCAUCAUCUGCAGCUUACUUCUAUGCAUUGCACAAGCUAUCGCCCGUCAUACUUCUUGCCUAGAACUUUAAGGGCCCUGAAGUUUUCGAGAUCGAGCUCCGGCGAGGUUUUGGAUGAUGAAUGCAGAAAUAUUUUUUUAUUAUUAAUAUAUUUUCUGUCGGUUUUAUGCGACAAGAAUGAUUUUAUUCGUUUUUAUAAUAAAUUAUCUGUCGGAUAUAACCGACAGAAAUACUGUCGGUUUUAGUAUUUUUUGUUGGUUUUAUCCGACAGAUAUUAUAAUAAAUAAAUAUAUAUCCUGUCGGUUUUAAAGUAUUUUUUGUCGGAAAAUUCAUUUUCUGACGCAGGCAAUUAUGUCGCUUAUUAUAUCCGUCACUGUAUCCAUUUUCUGUCGGAUUUUGCUUAAAAUCCAACAGUAAUAUAAAUUUUUUGUCGGUUUUUGAACCGCCAGUUAUAGUUAAUUUUGUAGUAGUGUGUUGAUGCACAAAACCGGAGGUCUUGAAACAACGUAAAUCUGACCGUGAAUCUGCUAGAAAGUAAAGAACACAAGAUAUCGUAGUUCACCCCAAUGUUUGGGCUACGUCCACACUGAUGUUGAUAUUGUUUCACUCUGAAUGGUGAAUAUACAAGAAGGCUAGAGGCAAUGUGCUCUCUGACCUAUUUUUUGUGUUUGCCCUAUCUGAGAUUCUUUCUCUCUUCCCAUGGCCUAAACCUUGACCUCUCCUAAUGAGGAGAGUGAGGAGUCCUUUUAUAGAAUAAGGACUCCCCACUUAUUACAUAUUUGCCCAUUCAUUUAUUACAUAAUUACAUUUGAGUCUCCCGAGUAUUUAUACGAGGUCUAAAUACGGAGGCCCUAAAUAUGGUACAAACAACUUUCAUUUUUGUUUUUUGUUUUUGUGUAAGGACCCUCUGACCGGGAGUCAUGUUCUUCACUUUGUUUUAAAUCUUAAAUCAUCUCCUUUCAUGAAUAAAAUGUCUCUCGUUAAUAAAAAAAUUAUGACAUUCAAACAAAUUGAAAAUUAAUACAGUUAAUUGUUGAAAGUAGUGGACUGCUCUGGUGUUAUUCUUUUGACCCCUUUAAUGAAGUUAUUUUCUAAGCAAAAAUAAAAAUAAAAUUAAAACCAACACGCAAUGUACUGCCACAUCGUCACUUGCACAAGCUUUCACUCAUAACAUGCUCAAUUCCCUUAUCUUUCUCUCCAUCUAUUUCGUAAUUUUUUGUUCUUUUUUUAUUUUCCUCCUUUCUCUCUACUCUCACCCCUAACCACUCUCUCUAUCCCGUCUCCUCUCACCCGUCCUCACUCACCUCUUCCUUUAUGUGUCAUGUCACUCGGUUUGUACUAGGGGUGGGUAUGGUUCCAAUCGGUUCGGUAUUUUGCUAAAAUAAAAACCAAACCGAAUUUUUUAUUCGGUUCCGGUCGGUUCAAAUUUUUUCGAUUUUUAUUCGAUUCGGUUUUUUCGGUUUUUUUCUGUCUGGUUUCAGUUCAGUUCUUUUUUUUUGUUUUUUGGGUCGUAAACAACUGAAAAUCAACCCAUUGUGUAGAGGUUUUAAUUUGAAAUGAAAAAUCAUGCUAGAGCUUAAAUGUUUUAGACUCAAACAAAUUUUUGAAGAUUUCUAACUGUGUUCUGGUGAUAAAAUUCGCUUUGGUUAAGGGGAAUAACUAACAAAGAAGAAUAAAAUUACGAGGUUCCUCAAUGAACGUAAAUAUUCAUCAUCAAUUGAAAGUGGCUACACCAAAAGAAAAUGGCCAAAGAAGAAUAUGUGUCAAGUUAAUUUCCCAUCACCAAAAUUUACGUUCAUUGAGGUUCCUACUAAACCGACCAAACUGCACCGACGGUUUCGUUUGUUUUUUUUUUUGUUUUUUUUUUCGGUAUGUAAACCAAACCUUCCCGUGUGCUUGCUUUUAUUUGUUUUAAUCAUAAUAGACAUACCAUGUACCCACCACAACAAAACAAACACUACAAAAAAUAUGGGCAUUGCACACAAUAAAUUAUUUGUGUCCAUUGAGCCAAAGAGCACCAACAUAUGUGCCCAUAAACCAAUAGCAAUAGUGCGGCAACUAUAAUAUUGUUUGUGCCCUCUAUAGGCAUGUCCUUUGGUAAUAAGGCACAAUAUUGCUUUUGUGCUCCCAAGAGAAAGCAUAAAUGACAACCUAUUUGUGUAUUAAUUAUGACAAGCAUGUCAAAUGAUCUACAAUCAUGCGCACAGUUUUCAAAUCAUGCCCGAUAGGGUCUAUUUAAAAAAUAAAUAAAAAUUUGAAACAAAACAAAAAAUUCUAAAUUUUCAUAAAAUCAACAAAUCCCACAAUAUACAUGUAUUUCAGUUAUUUACAACAAAUCCCACAUAUUUACAACCAAGCCCUCCUGCAUAAUCCUAUCCUCCCCUACUGCAGUCGUUGGACCCAAGUUCUUCAUGCAAUGUAACUUAACCACAUUCCCUUCUUGCCUAUAAGGAAUCUUAGUAAGAAGCCUAGAGUAAGAAAUAUUUAUAAGCAUUCAUUUCAUUAAGAUUAUCGCAUGCAAACCGUUCUCGUCUCCCAAGGAAUUAAGGACAUAAUGACAUUAGCAAUUAUUGAAAAACCAACCUAAUUUGUGCACUCAUAUAUAUUUCCUUUACCAUGAGCCAUUUGAUCAUUCUCCUCAUCAACAAAUAGAUCCCUAACAUUGUUAUCAGUUAUACCAACGAACUUGCCCAAAACUUCAGGGCCAUUAACAAUCUAGCACAGUUCACAAGAACAGAAAUCUCAUCAAUCACCAAUGCAAACAACUAACUUAUACAAGGAUAAGUUGCAUAUCAAAUAGCUUUGGAACCUUAAAAUAAUGUACUAGCAUCAAAAUUAUGUGUUAAAUCGGCAUGGUUCAAUGUUUACAGCUGGCAGAACUUAAUCGAUUCAUUACCUAAGCCUAUUGUGAAAAAUAAGAAUACAAGAUUGUGACAAUGAAAUACCUAGUUCUUAAUUUCAUCUCAGAUUCAUGUGUCAUCAAUUGGUUAAGUCUUAUUUGAAAUUAAGGCUGAAACAUAGAAAAGUAAUCAUUCAAACGAACACAACAAAUUCUUAGUCCUAAGAGAAUUGCAACUCUCAGAGAUUUGAUUAUUAAAGAAAAGGUGGAUCAAACUCCAAACCUUUAGUCCUUUCCCGUUCAACAUCUUUCUGAUUUGACACGCCAUAAGAGAAAACAAAAAGAGGCCAUAAUUCAAAUAACACACUAGUUUGAGAAAAAAAGAAAGCAUCAAAUGUUGCGUAAUGGAUAUGAUCCAAAGUCCAAACGCAUCCAAAUUCAUACGUGCAUAAUGUUCGUUCUUUUUCUUUCUUUUGAAAAUUAGACUCUGAAACUUCCCAAAAUAUUAACACUUUUAAUGAUUUCAUUAAUUGUGUUUAUUAAGCACUAUUAGUAUACUAAUACAAAACAUAGAAAACUAAAUAUCAUGAGUAAAACCUACUUAUAUUUCAUGUAAGGCUCCAAAUACCUUAUGUAGGACUUUUGUAUCUCAAGUAUAAACAUUAGCAAGCUGUAAGAACUUCACUCCAUUUAUCUCAUUCCAUAGAGUACCUAUAACUUUCAACAUCAUAGAUGCACAUUUGUACCUGAGAACUAUUCAGGGGAGCUUCCAUUGUGGGUCGAGUGCCCUAUACCUUUUUUUCAUAGUUCACCAACGAGUUAUCUAAAGAAUUUAACAGCCAAUAUAUAACUUUAUGAAUAAUGAGAAUCACAAAUUUGAUUAUGUAAUGAGCGGUAUAAAUGAUAAAUAUCACAUUAUCAUUCAAGACAAAAAAUAUGAGCCAUUUUUCAAUCUCUUUCUGAAAACUCAAAAGGACUCAAUUUCAGAACGGUUUUUUUUUUUUCCACCCAUAUGCACAUUUUGGGUUUCAUUACUCUCCUCGCAUCAAUUUAAAAGGUACAUAAUUUCCAGUUUCAUAUAUAAAUAAGAUAAUUAUCACAAAUGUUGUCAAUCUAAUCAAAUAAUAAAUGUAAAGACAAAUACCAAAGCAUCUGUAAACAUACGCAGAUAAAAAAAUCCAAUAACAAGACAUACCGCUAUAGGGAAUGCCACACUACAAGGAAAAUUUACGCACGGCCUUGACAUCAUCGGAACAAGCCCAAUGGUAGUGCACACAUUGUAACCUGCAAUUACCGCUUGAUUCACUUUAGAAAUUAAAUGCAGUCUUCCAAUGUAGAACAAUUUUCAAUCCAAAUUAAAUGAGAAACGCUUCACCCUCUCCUGCAGAGUUCCAUCAAUUAGACCCCAACAAAAUUAGCAUAUUUAUGUUUAUAUUACUGAAAAUAUGAUUUUAGCCCUUCCAACUCAAUUUUCUUCAUAUAAAACCCUACAUAACUUUUUUACUCAAAGAAAACCCAAUGACUAGGAUCCACAUAAGCAAAUUCAUUAAUUUCAUAUUAAUUCACACAUUUUACAUUUUUCACAUUCCUAAAAUACCCCUAUUACAUAUUUGAUGUAGACAAUUAAUUGUGAGGAGAGAGUAAAUGAUUUUGCAACAAGAAAAAAAAAGACAUUAAUGUUAAAAAUUUAUUGCAUAUUAAUUUUUUAGAAAGACUUUGAAUUUUCAUAAAACUAUUCGAUUCGGUUUUUUUCACCCUACUCUUGAAUACUUUUGAAUUUAUCCUUUUUUUAUUAAUAUAUUAGAACAUUGUAUUUCAUUAUCUACAUGCACAUUAAUUUACCUACAACAAUUAUACCAUGGGUGUAAUAUAAUAUCUCUUUUUUACAAUGAUGCAAAAUAAUGUUUAUACCAACAACAAAACGUGCCUAACAUAUGUACUAAUACAUGAAAAAUAAUUUACCUAUAUUAAGAAGAAAUGUAGUUCGAUGCAUAGUAUUAAAAAUACUAUGUUACACCCAUGUUUAUACAACAAUAAAAUGUGCCUAACAUAUCUAACAAUACAUGGAAAAUAAUUUACCUACAAGUUAGAUAAAUGUUAUUUGGUUGGGUGUAGUAUAAUUUUUUUAAUAAUUGGAAAAAUUAAAUAUAACUAGGUGCAGUGUAAUUUUUUAUAUAUAAUUAGAACAAAUUAAUUUACCUACCUACUAUUUGAAAUGUUCAUUUCUAAUGAUGCAAAAUGUCACAGCCCGUCCCAAAGUUUUACACUCGUGAUUGUAAAUUGACGGAAUUGCCCUUAAACGUGAUUAAGAUAUGUGAAUUAUAUAUUGGUGAAAUAUAUGUUCCUAAGUUAUUUGGAUAUGGAAUUUUGUGAUUUGGGGUUAGGUAGGACCACACACCUCAAAUCCCUCCCUAUUUCCCGUACCCUGUCUCUCUCUCUCCUCCCUCACAAUCUCUCAUUCUCUGUCUCUCUCCUUCGAACUCAAACGGACGAGACCCAAAGACCGUCGAAACUUCCACCAACGACGGAGUUAAGACCACCAUCAAACUCCUGGAACCUCCACGAUCAUGAUGGUAUCCAUUUCAAGUAAGUUUUGCUUCGGAAAACCCUAGUUUCAAAGUUCCCGUGAAAUGGUACUGUUCAUGAUCUUCUAAAUGACUACGUUUUAGGCUAAAACAAGAUCACAGCGAGCUUAGUGAGGUCCCAAGGAAGCUCGGAGUGCUUCGUUGGAAGUUUUUGGACGUAAGAACACGGAGAUCGACAAGUUCAAAGUUUGGCCGGAGCUUUCGAGGAAUUUUCCGGCGAAUCCCCGGUGAGUUAGGAGUCGAGGUAGGUAUCCAUCUCUUCGUCUCGUCAAGUACUACAACUUUCCUUUUUGUUUCACUCAAUUUCGUUGAGUAUUGAAGAAGUUAUACUCAUUUGAAAAAUACCCAGUUUCCGGCGACCUCCGAGGCUUUCGAGGCAGUUUCCGGCCAAACCACGGCGAACUAGGUGUUGUGCAAGGUACCAUUCUCUUUGUCUCUUCAAGGGCUACAACUUUCGUUUUUGAAUCACUUGAUUUCGUUGAGAAAUGACAAAGUUAUGGCAAUUUGAAAAACUGCCCAGAAACGGCCGCCGGAAAAACCAGUCCGGCGACCCAAGGAAGAAGAAGGUGCGCGUGGGGGCGCGUGGACCCGUGCCUUCCUUGGCGCGUGGGGGCGCGUGCUACAGUAAAAAUUAUUUUAAAAAUAUGGCGACGUCCGUGACGUCGAGUAGAUUGGGACUCCGAUUUGCGGAUCUUCCGAAAUUGGAGUUGUAAGUCCAUAAUAUAGAAUGUUAACCGUCACCUAGUUUUGUUAAUUGACGGAGAUCCGACCGUUGGAUGGUAAUGAAAUUUUAGGAGGUUAUCCUAGAGAUAUAUUGUGGACCUCUGGAAGUUAUGGAUUUAAAAUCCGAGUGGUGGAUCUUCCGGAUCGAUCUACGUAGUGACGUAUUUUAUAUAAGUUAUAUAUUCUAUCACUAUGAAUUCUGAGGUUGGAAUUGAUUAUUGUUUUAGGCGCCGAUCGUCAUGACGCCUUGGCGUAUUGUGCUAGGGAGUUGUAGGGCGAACUCCAG